UAUCUAAUUUUUUAGAAAUUCUGAUUUUAUGGUUUCAUUUGGAGCGACAACCAUAUGAUACCAGGGGCUAUGAUUGGAUGCACAACCACAUUGGUCCUCCACACAGUACAGAAUCAAAAGUGUUUCUAAGUUUCACCAAAUCUACUCCUCCAGGUUAAGUCGCUGACAACACAAAACGGAAAUUAACCAAAAUUAUAGUGUCAAUUUUGCUGCUAGUCGCUCCAUUACAUUACAGUCCAUGGGGGUGUUGUAACCUCAGACUCGGCUAUCAAGGGUCUCUCCAGGCAAACGGCCAGCUACCAAAACGGUGAACCAUGGAUGAUAGAUCAGCGCCUCUUCUUGCCAGACUUUGAGCCGGCAGAUUUCGAUGGGCUCGCGACCAGGUAGAUGAACCCCAGAACGAAGGAAACAACGGACACCAGUGCUCCAUACUUCGCAACAAGUUUCUGCACAUGGACAGUCUCUUAGAAUCUCACACCAGGGAAUAUCAUGGCAGCUUAUUUCGAUGGAGAAGAAAUGAAAUGAAAUUACCUUAGCCUGAACAGCACAUGAGAGCAAAUCCAGAGAUAUCCAGAGCAAGGGUAUCAACCCCACAAAAUAGCAUGGAAAAAAUUAGAAUCACCAAGGAGAUAUUACCAGAAUGAAAAUGCACAUGAUCACUUACCCAUUCAAACUUCUUCACUGGAGGUCUUUCAGCAAGAAUGUCCAGGGGGAGGAUGGGAGUUGAGUAGGCCUCCUACAGCGUACAAAAUUAUGAGUUUAGCAGGAGGCGUUGACACUGGUGAAUUAAUGAGCAAACAAGGCGAUCUCGCAAACAAGCGAAUGUAUAUCAUUUGAGACACUAGUGAAUAAUAUACGGAACGGGUAGAGGAUCAUACCUGAAGUGCAGCCUUUGUGGCAACACGGUACUUGAUAACAGCAGGUGAAGCUUGGAACCUGCCCUGUGUUUUGCUCUCCAAUACAAACGCGUGCGAAGCAGUGGCACCACUAAAAGUGCAAAUGAUAAAAGUUCAGUUUACUAUAACACCAUAAUGGAGUGGAGUCACCAAAAGCAGAGAGAUGCAUUACAAAAUGGAAAUGCACUCACGGUUCAAGCCUUUCCAAAGUCUUUGAGACCUCUCCAGAGACAAGUUCAAAUGCUUCCUUUGGCCACGAGUCAUCAUUAAUGGCCACAUCAUAUGCAGUUCUGCACAAAAAUAACAAUACCUUAUUAGACUAUGCAAAAUACAUGGAUACUCACUGGCCAUCAUAUUAUACAAAUAGGUAAGUUGAACAAGAAAAAGGAAUCAAACUUUUGUCCAUGGAAAUAGGAUGUGCACUUUGAGGAGCAAACAAGAUAUUGCAAUAACUCAGUUUUGAGAACAUCAAGGAAACCCAUCUGGUAAGUUUUAAAACUUUACUGUACAUGAUGCAAACAUCUAACAAGCUAGAACCAAUCUAUCUGGAAAAGUGCUUGGCACAUAUACUAGUUCUAACCAGCAAGAGCAGUAAAACCAUGAGAUUACAACAUACAUCAAAAUAAGAAGGAUAAGCUUCUAUUCUAGUCUAGGUAAUCAAACGAGAACAUUUUAUGACAUCUCAUACUGAUGACUAUUAAACACCACAUAGAUGCUUCAACUUUCCCAAGUGUAAACCCUGGUGUUACUAUUGACAGAUUUGCUCAAUAACAAUGGGACGCCUGAAGCUCUUGUAAAAGCUCACAAAUUGGCUGCGGCUACUCUACCUUGCUAGUUGGUUGCCUAGACAAAUUAAAUCAGGCGCGUGGUCAAGCAACAAAACGACGGAUCGGGUCACCAUUUUGUACGGAUAAUAAUUUAUAAACGCUAGAUCUAGCAGUUACUAGUCAGGAUCCACGAGAUGGUGCCGGAAUUCCACCGCCGAAUUGUGAACUGAAGGAGCUAAAACCACAAUUAACUGAGCCGAUCCCCUCGGCUGCCGGCCAAGGCCGCCGCAGAUCCCGUCGAUCUGGCGGAGAGAGCAGGCCCCAUCGCCGUCGCGAAGUGAGGAGGAACACAGGAUAGCAGGCAGGUAGGAUGGGACGUCGGAGUACUCACGCGGAUCCCUGGUUGUAGAGGUCGAGGGAGACGGCGAGGCGCUCGACGCCGGGCUUGGGGCGGGAGAGGGCCACCUUCUUGUGCGCGACGAGGAAGGGCGCGUCGGCGGCGAAGGUGCAGGAGAGGGCGGCGAGGAGGACGGCGGCGCAGAGGAGGAGCGAGCGGGUCGCCGCCAUGGUGGUGGACCUGGCUAGGGUUCCGGCGGAUCGGAUCGGAUCGGAUCUCGUGCCUCUCGCCCAGCUGGAUGGAAGAAGAAGACGACUCUGGGUAUGGUAUGGACUGGGACGGAUGGGCUCUGCAUACUAGUAGCCCAGCCCAGGGGUGGUGCCUGGCAAGUGAGGCUGCACAUGGGACCCGCCGCACACAAACAAACAAAAGUGCAUGUAUGGAUAAAACUGAACUUUUCUUUUUGCAAUUGUUUGUUGGUACUGUAGCUUAUAAUGCUUGUAAUAGUAUUUUUUUAGUUGCUUUUAAUAUUAUUAUCUUAGUUUCUUUUAUUUAUUUUUUUAGGAAUGCCAUUUUGGCGAGCUUUAGUAGUUACAUAACACUUACAUUCACCAAUUACAUAGCAACGAUAAAACUCAGUGGUUCAUCGACCCAAACAUCUUAUUGAGGAUCACACACCUUAGCUAGAGUAUGAACUAGUAACCCUAAGGCAGAAACCAUAAGGUACUUUCGUGAAAAAGAAGCUCGUAUGCAAAUGUCGUCGGAGAUUGGAGCAUUCAUAGUUGCCGAAAAUCCAUUGUCCUUCAAAGUAUUUGAUUGUUGACCUCCUUGCAAUCCAAUCCGAAUGGAUAGCCUUUGGCAAUCCAUCGACAAGAUAGGGACCAUCGAGCACUGACGAAGUUUUCCACGAUGGUUGCAAUGUUCAAAGCCAGCUCCGGUAUGUGUUUGCUAACAACAAUAAAUUUGCCCCAGUCAUCUCGGAUUACGUCUCUCGCCCCGCUACCGCUAUCCGGAUCAAAUCUAACAUCCAUAUUUGGGGUGACAAAGCCCUCCGUUACUUCGAUCCAUUUGCUCUUUCUUUUUUUUUAUAUGUGGCUCUCACAAAAUUCGCUACUAAGCACCUAGAUAGAGAAUAGAGAUAACCACAUAUGGUAUGAACUAAACUUUUUCACCAUCAACUCUUUGUCACCUCAUUGGUCAAGUGCACCAUACAUAGUGAGGAUAACUUCUCACAGGUAGAUGGUCUCACAACCGGUCUUGAUAAAUUACAUGUAAUCAAGAAUUUCAUUGUUAGUACAAUUGCACUUCUCUCAGACCAAUGUCCCCUCCAGAUCUCCCAGGCUUCCACGCAUUGAAACCAUGCAAAACACUUACACGCUGAAAUUUUGAUAUUCGCUUGAAGUCUGCAUAGCUCAUCCCAUUUGAACUCAAGUUUGCCGCCCCUGAUUCUUCCUACCGACUUAAACGAUUCCUGCUCCAUAUGAUACGUACAGCGAACACAGAACACACCCUUCUUGACGAAACGCCAUGUGACAAAGCCCGCCAUGCUAUUCAGGCUCGUGAAAAUGUGGUGCACAUUAAUAGGCCAAAAUAUCGACCGCAACAACUAUUCAUCGCAGCCUCCGGUCACAGGAUCAUUCAACUGAUCAGUUGUUCAUAUCUGUAUCUGACCUUUUGGUGUUAAUACUUUGCCAGUAGGGCUUUAUGGGAUCCAAUAAUACAUACUCCCUCCGUCCGGAAAUACUUGUCUUCAAAAUGGAUAAGAAGGGAUGCAUCUAGACGUAUUUUAGUUCGAGAUACAUCUCUUUUUAUCCAUUUUGAUGACAAGUAUUUUUGGACGGAGGGAGUAUUUUGGUAUUAUCUCUGUUUAGGAGUAUUGUGGUUGUUGAUCAUUUUUUCUACCCCCUUCGUUCUUUUUUAUCAGGCGUUGCAGACAGCUGACAUUGAACUAUUUUGGACGCUAUCUGAAAUUUCUACAACGUCUUAUAAAAGUGAACAGAGGGAGUACAAAAGAUCAAACUAUACAUCAUUAAUUUGAGUUCACACAAAAUUUAUAAAUCUUCUUUUCUGAGACGGGCCCUUCGUUAUCGAUUGGCAUAAUCUGCUCCUCCCGAUCACGUCACAUGGGAAUGUGCCAUCCAUUGCGGACUAGACUACUAAAAACGCCUCCAUUCCCUUCCCCUAGCUGCUAGCUAAGCGCUCUACGACUACGAGCCUGUAAACACAAUUGUCAACACCAUGGCGCGCCAAUGCCUCUUCCUCCUCCUCGUCGCCGUGACUGUGAUGGCGUUCGGGGUGGCCGGCGCCUCCAAGGACGUCACGGGGGGCUACCUCCUGUACGACUGCGACCCGGAUCCACGGCGGCCCGCCAAAGGCACCGCGUUCGGCGCCAGCCUGAGGCCGCUCCUCGCCGCCCUCCCGUCAGCCGCUGCGCCGACGGGCUUCGCCUUCCUCCAUUCCGGCAGGGCCGGCCGGAGCAACGACACGGCGUUCGCCCGAGGCCUCUGCUUCGGCGAGUCCCCGGCACGGGGGGACUGCCGCGAGUGCCUGGCCACCGCGGUCGAGAGACCCAAUCCUAAGCAUAGCGUGAGAUCGUGUAGUUCGUUUGCUAGAGCUUUUCUAAUGUCAAGUAUCUCUUCCUUUGACCAUGAGAGCGUGUAACUCCUGGAUACCGUAGGAGUGCUUUGGGUGUAUCAAACGUCACAACGUAACUGGGUGACUAUAAAGGUGCACUACAGGUAUCUCCGAAAGUAUCUAUUGUUUUAUGCGGAUCGAGACUGGGAUUUGUCACUCCGGAUAACGGAGAGGUAUCACUGGGCCCACUCGGUAAUGCAUCAUCAUUAUGAGCUCAAAGUGACCAAGUGUCUGGUCACGGGAUCAUGCAUUGCGGUACGAGUAAAGUGACUUGCCGGUAACGAGAUUGAACAAGGUAUUGGGAUACCGACGAUCGAGUCUCGGGCAAGUAACAUACCGAUUGACAAAGAGAAUUGCAUACGGGGUUGAUUAAAUCCUCGACAUCGUGGUUCAUCCGAUGAGAUCAUCGUGGAGCAUGUGGGAGCCAACAUGGGUAUCCAGAUCCCGCUGUUGGUUAUUGACCGGAGAGCGAUCUCGGUCAUGUCUACAUGUCUCCCGAACCCGUAGGGUCUACACACUUAAGGUUCAGUGACGCUAGGGUUGUAGGGAUAUGUAUAUGCAGUAACCCGAAUGUUGUUCGGAGUCCCGGAUGAGAUCCCGGACGUCACGAGGAGUUCCGGAAUGGUCCGGAGGUAAAGAUUUAUAUAUGGAAAGUCCUGUUUCGGGCAUCGGGACAAGUUUCGGGGUUAUCGGUAUUGUACCGGAACCACCGGAAUGGUCCCGGGGGUCCACCGGGUGGGUCCACCUGUCCCGGGGGGGCACAUGGGCUGUAGGGGGUGCACCUUGGCCUACAUGGGCCAAGGGCACCAGCCCCACAUAGGCCCAUGCGCCUAGGGUUUGAGGGGGGAAGAGUCCUAGGAGGGGAAGGCACCUCCUAGGUGCCUUGGGGGGGAGGGAAACCCCCCUUGGCCGCCGCCCCCCUAGGAGAUUGGAUCUCCUAGGGCCGGCCACCCCCCCUUGGCCCUCCUAUAUAUAGUGGGGGAAAGGAAGGACUUCAUACCUUGGCCUUUGGUUGCCUCCUUCUCCCUCUCCAACACCUCCUCCUCCUCCAUAGUGCUUGGCGUAGCCCUGCCGGAGUACUGCAGCUCCAUCAACACCACGCCGUCGUGCUGCUGCUGGUGCCAUCUCCCUCAACCUCUCCUCCCCCCUUGCUGGAUCAAGAAGGAGGAGACGUGGCUGUUCCGUACGUGUGUUGAACGCGGAGGUGCCGUCCGUUCGGUGCUAGGAUCUCCGGCGAUUUGGAUCACGUCGUGUUCGACUACAUCAUCCCCGAUCUUUGAACGCUUCCGCUCGCGAUCUACAAGGUAUGUAGAUGCAUCUAAUCACUCGUCGCUAGAUGAACUCAUAGAUGGAUCUUGGUGAAACCGUAGGAAAAUUUUGGUAUUAUCUCUGUUUAGGAGUAUUGUGGUUGUUGAUCAUUUUUUCUACCCCCUUCGUUCUUUUUUAUCAGACGUUGCAGACAGCUGACAUUGAACUAUUUUGGACGCUGUCUGAAAUGUCUACAACGUCUUAUAAAAGUGAACAGAGGGAGUACAAAAGAUCAAACUAUACAUCAUUAAUUUGAGUUCACACAAAAUUUAUAAAUCUUCUUUUCUGAGACGGGCCCUUCGUUAUCGAUUGGCAUAAUCUGCUCCUCCCGAUCACGUCACAUGGGAAUGUGCCAUCCAUUGCGGACUAGACUACUAAAAACGCCUCCAUUCCCUUCCCGUAGCUGCUAGCUAAGCGCUCUACGACUACGAGCCUGUUAACACAAUUGUCAACGCCAUGGCGCGCCAAUGCCUCUUCCUCCUCCUCGUCGCCGUGACUGUGAUGGCGUUCGGGGUGGCCGGCGCCUCCAAGGACGUCACGGGGGGCUACCUCCUGUACGACUGCGACCCGGAUCCACGGCGGCCCGCCAAAGGCACCGCGUUCGGCGCCAGCCUGAGGCCGCUCCUCGCCGCCCUCCCGUCAGCCGCUGCGCCGACGGGCUUCGCCUUCCUCCAUUCCGGCAGGGCCGGCCGGAGCAACGGCACGGCGUUCGCCCGAGGCCUCUGCUUCGGCGAGUCCCCGGCACGGGGGGACUGCCGCGAGUGCCUGGCCACCGCGGUCGAGAGGAUCGGCUUCUGCGACGGCAGCCGGCGCGCGGCCUUCUGGAACGACGGCUGCUUCCUGGCCUACUCCGACACCAAGGCCUCCGUCUCCGCGCCCGCCGACGAGCGGCGCUGGAUGAGCUUCCUGACCCACGACCCCGUCGUCUACCCCAGGUUCUAUGACGCGGAGACGCUGGUGGGCCUGGCGCGGUCCCUGCUGCCCCGCGCGGCGGCGAACGGCUCGGGGGUGCCGGGGCGCAUGCUGGCCGCGGCGAGCGCCGCCCUCCGGGCGAACGGCACCGUCCGCGCGGUGGCGCAGUGCGCCCCGUGGAACGUCACGGCGGCGGAGUGCGCCCUGUGCCUGGCGAAGUCGGUGCGGGACGUGCCCGGCCCCGGCGGCCUGUUCGGCGUGUUCGAGGGCGUCCGGUCUGGCGUGGCCUCGGUGCACCGGUACGACUGCAACCUGCGGUUCGAGAUAUCCGCUCCGGUGAGGCCCGUGGGGAAAGGAGCGAGGAUCCGUGAGUUCGUCACAUUUUCUCUCUUGCAAAUUACUUCCUGAUGUCAAAAACGUUCUUGUAUGAUGGGACGUAGGGAGUAAUUAAUAUACUUAAAUGCAUAUAUUCAGUCGUGCAUGCGUGUGGAUGCAGGGAAGAAGAUUCGAGAUAACCUUCUUGUCGUCAUAGUUGGUGCCGUCGUGAUCGUGGUCGCCGUCGUCGCCGGAGCAGCUUUUCUCCUUGUGAGGCGAAAGAAGAAGAUGAGGAAGGGGGCACAAGCUGGCGUGUCUCCUCCAACACCUAGCUAGGUAGGGGCAACAGGCCGGCCGGCUCCAAGUUAGCAUUCCCUGUGUUCACAAAUACUCCCUCUGUUUCAAAAUAAAUGACUCAAUUUUGUAUUACAAUUAGUACAAAGUUGAGUCAUUUAUUUUGAAACGGAGGAAGUACUCCUCUGUGCAUUUAUGUAAGACGUUUUAGAGGCUUGUUUUUCUGAACCGAUGUAUAUAGACGCGUUUUAGUGUGGUUAUUCACUCAGGGAUCACAUUCUCGAGAAUGGAUCGACUACUACACUUUCUGACUCCUCGUUGAUCAUGUAUAGUGGAGUACAAUGCAAGUUCUUACAUGUAGCUUUGAUGAUUGUAAUGGUCAUAAUGUUAGGCAGCAUUAGGGGGAGUGUUGAGAAUCAAUUGAACAUGAUCUAUUUGGGAUUAAACCCUGCACAUGGCAACCACAACGUCAGUUGCUACUUUCACACGUUCCUUUCUCUGGUUUGUGUUUCGGAACUACUCCUCCGGGGACUUGUAUAGAUAGGUGUGCGUCAUGGACAUAAACAUUAUGCCGCGCAAAAGAAAAGAUACAAAGAAAUAAUUUUCCUUUUUUCCCCUGAAGAAGUUCAAAAGAACUGUAAGAUUUGAGUGGACUAGGACAAAAGAUAAUUUUGACAGGCCAAAUCCGCUGUUAUUUUGAUAGCAGUGAUCUAAACACUCUUAUAUUUCUUUCCGGAGGGGGUAGGAAAUAAGUGGCAUGAGUACAACAAGUUACAUUACAGAAAGAACCCCUUGCUGCCUUGCCUCCUGCUGUCUCCNNNNNNNNNNNNNNNNNNNNNNNNNNNNNNNNNNNNNNNNNNNNNNNNNNNNNNNNNNNNNNNNNNNNNNNNNNNNNNNNNNNNNNNNNNNNNNNNNNNNNNNNNNNNNNNNNNNNNNNNNNNNNNNNNNNNNNNNNNNNNNNNNNNNNNNNNNNNNNNNNNNNNNNNNNNNNNNNNNNNNNNNNNNNNNNNNNNNNNNNNNNNNNNNNNNNNNNNNNNNNNNNNNNNNNNNNNNNNNNNNNNNNNNNNNNNNNNNNNNNNNNNNNNNNNNNNNNNNNNNNNNNNNNNNNNNNNNNNNNNNNNNNNNNNNNNNNNNNNNNNNNNNNNNNNNNNNNNNNNNNNNNNCAGCAAUAAUCACCGUAUACAUAUCGUAACAAUUAGCUCAUUUUCCAUCCAACUACAUACAGACUAUAACAACUGCGCCGUGAGGAUCUCGUUCCACGUGUCGGGCACUCCAGGGAGGCACCAGUGCAGGCAGUCCUGGAUCCCCUGUGUGGCCUUGAUGCUGUACCGUGAUAUGUGCCCUUCGUCCCUCAGGCGCGACAGAGCGGUGACAUCCAGCAGCCUGACCCUGGUUCCCAUCACCGCGCCCUCGGCAUCGGUGUCCUCGGAGCGGUUCAGGGAGAUGCCGCUGCCCUUGGCCAGAGGGCUCGUGCUGUCGCAGCGGCCGCCGGUGUCCCAGUCCCCGUUGAAGAAAUGCCGGGGCGAGAUGGAUCGGUAGAAGGCCUUCAGGUGGGGGUGGCGGGGGAGCUGCGCGUCCAGCCACUUGACGACGCUGUGGAUGGUGAAGUUCUUGGCCUUCCAGAUGGCGGCGAUGUUCUUGUUGCGGUUCGGGGAUCCGCUGACGUACAUCUCCCACUUGUUUGCCCUUAGCUUGCCCCGGUUCCAGUGGUGGCCGGUGUUGAGGACCAGAACGUGGAUCCUGUGGAGGUUGUCCCGCACGAAAGCAGGUGGGCGGUCGAGGUGCAUGGCGUAGCUGGUGGCUGGAUCUGAUGGAUUCAGAGGCUCCAGAUCACAUAGCGUCGACGACCAAUGGUAUAGAAUGGUCGUGUUGGUGCUCGGGAACCGGUAAGCCCAGCCAUCUGGUCUUUUUGCGCCUGGUGCUAAGACAAACCCGUACUCCGCACCGACAUCUUCCACGUCUGCCCGCUCUUCUCCGGCAGUAGCCAUACACAUCAUGGACUGAAACAUCUGCCUCCCUAAAGAAUCGCCCACAUAAGCAAUGGUUUUGCCCUGCAUUCUGAAAUAUAACCAAAUUAGUAUUUUUUUCCCCUUAAUGAGUCAAGAGAUAAUGAUAAUAAGGCCAAGGGUGCAGUAUAUUAUCAUCCCCACAUUCAUAUCGGACAUGCUAUGGACACGUACCUCAUCAAGAACUGAGAGGCCUCAAACUCUGGCAUAUCACAAGCUUCAGGUUGCCAUCUAAAUUGUUCGUAAUCAAAAUCAGUGCGCUGAGUCAAUCUGCAGGACCAGCUCUCAGAAAGCCACUGUUUACAGCCAAAACCAGAGUAGAGUGGUCUGCGCUUGUCAGGAACCCAUCUUCCAUUUCUGUGGUUACAUUCUGAAGAUAGAUGAAGCAAACACGAGAUAGAAAUAUUAGGACCAGAUAACCGAAAAUCCAUCUCUGCACCCGAGCUCAUCUGCACCCGCGCUGACGAAAAAAAUCAAAACAAAUACUAGAAAAAUUCAAGAAAUUCCAAAAAAAAAUUGUGUGGUAGACAAUUUGUUGCGUGACACCCGCUCCAAAUUUCAAGUCAUUGCCUUCAAAAAAAAAAUUCAAGUCAUUUGGAUAUAUGAGAAGCUCUCAGCAAAAAAGACAAAUUGGGGGUCUGUAAAAAUAUUUACUGUUCAUGUACUGUUUUGACCCGAUUUGUCUUUUUUGCUGAGAGCUGCUUAGAUGUCUAAAUGACUUGAAAUUUGGAGCAGGUCUCACGCAUCAAAUUUUCUACCACACAAAAAAAAUUGGAAUUUUUUGAAUUCGUUUUGUAUUUUUUACGAAUUUUUUUCUAACCGGAUGCAGAUGAGCCUGGGCACCAAACGCCCUACUCCCAGAUAACCCCUGACUAACUUAUGUACAGCAUGGUAAUUCAGUAUUCUAGGCAUAACCAGAAGGUGACACUGAAUAAAUGCAUAGUAGCAUUCUCAAGAAAGAAUCCAUGGUUCCUCCUACGGUCAUAGAAGAUAAGUAAUUACCUUUCGACUUAGAAGGCGAUGCCCCCUGUUCACCUCCCACAAUAGCAGGAACACCGACAAGUGGCACUGGUGGUGGUGCACCGGUAACUUGCUUUCCUACUUUAACUACUGGCUGUGGCAAUGAAUCUACACUUGGGAAGUCUUCAUCUGAAGAUGUACGCUGAUCUACAAACUUUGAGUUAGCUACAGAAAUUCAAAGAAAAAUGAGAAUAAAGAUAAGCAUAAUGCAAAAAAAGAAAGAGAGGUAUGUCUAUAUGCUUAAAAUGACCUGGAUGAGACACAACCAAUGAAUCUGGGUGGAUAUCUUCAGUAUUGUAGUAUGUUCCUUCCUCCCAUUUCCAGAGAAUAAACAUUAUGAAGAAAGCAAGAAGGACGAGCUUAAGCUGCUUGCACCGCAGUCCAUUUAUGCUCCUCAAUCUCAUCCUUUAUUGAUGUUUAGGAAAAUUCCAUGUAAAAGUAGGACAGUUUAUGAUUGUAGAAACCUGUUGGCGUGUAAGAAAAAAGGUAAAAUUAAGUAAGUGAUAUUAUAUCUCGCAGUAUAUAACAUUUUGGGAAAUGAUUUAAAUUUAUAAGUGCCGUGCAACCGAAAGAUUAACAGUAACACGACCAGUUGUUGUACUCAUCAUUUUAGUUGUUAUUAAUAUAUCAAUCAUCAAUAUUUGAAAAAAGGCUCUCAAGUCUGUCCCCUGACCUGUUAAGUACAAAAUCAUAUUCUAAGUCUGUUAAAAAAUAUAUGGAGAAAUGCUAUAAUCAGGAACCUUCUUGAUCAAGUGGAUGAAGGUAUGACUUCACAUUGGGGGCAUGAUCACAACUCGAAACACUUGUCAAGGUUUCCAUUAAGGUAUAAGCCUCAGUCCUUGUUACAUACACAAAAAUUCAAUUGCAAGCACAUCAUACGUUUUCCCCUAAAAAAAGCACAUCGUACGUGACACAUAUAUGGACUGAAGCAUCUACCAGAAUAAAGAAACAGCACAAAUUAGCAGAUCAAACCAUUGGAGUGAAACAUAUUUGGACUGAAACAUCUACCAGAACAAACAAACAAUUUUGUCCCAAUAUAUUAAGACAACCAACAUUAUGAGCACAUAGCAGAAGAUCAAGCCAUUCUCAAGUAUAAAUGCAACAAAACAACCCACACCAGCUACAAAUUAUUCAACAAGCAAUAAAAGUAGCCUCAUCUCACAAAAACCAUCAAGUGAUUAAUUGCUCUAAAUAUAUCUUAUCUUAGGGCAAUGCAAAGUGGAAGAACUAAAUUGAACAAGGCACACUCGCCUUCAUGCCCGAAGCCUACUUGACACAAUUUAUAUUAAAGGAGAUUAAGGUGAUGCAAAUUUAGCCUGCUCCUAGAAAUAACUAGCUACCAUCAUGGUUGCUAGCUAUUGAACCUUCAACUAUAUACAUAUACUAACACUCUCACCAACUUGUCUGCGGUUUCAUAUCCUAAUGUAGUUAAUUUCUAAUAUAUCCAAGAUUGGAGGGCAAAUUGAGCCAAGGUUUUUAGACUAAAAUAAAUGCACAACUAUACAUUAAAUGAAAAGAUGCUCAAGUGUCAAAGAAAAGCAUAUUAUAACUACAGGUGAUGCAGAAGCGCGGGUACUGACUGACAACUAUACAUGAGAAAAACUCAAGUAUGAUACACUUUCCUAGCUACUUAAUGAGAACACCAUAUGCCAUGAUCUGCACAGAAGGUUAUGGACAAAUCCAGGUCUAACACUGAAGUAAGUGAAAGGGGGAAGUUCAAAGUUUCAGAAAUGAAGUGUGAGACUAAAUCUAGAUGUACUGAUGCCCUAUAUACUUGCAUACAUUGCCAUCGAUAAUUAAUUUUCCUUAUCACUCUGAUUACCCAAACAUGCAGAGAUGUCAGGGCAACAGAGCAGCGAGGUAUCAUGCAUACCAACAGUGGCGGAGCUACAGCAGGGCCAAACAUGGCCAUGGCCCGCCCAGCCAACAAGAGUUCAGUGUAGAGUGGAGCUAAUUUUGGCCCCUGGGUGCAAAUUUUCAGGCACAUAUCUUAAUCUAGCCCUUCUUUGGCCCGCCCAGUGAUGUGUGUGUAGCUCCGCCACUACAUACCAACACAGUAAUACUGCAGAUAUGUUAGACCAAAAGAUGUCAACGCAGAUAAGACAAACAGAGCAGCGAGGUAGACUACACCAACACUAACUAGGCGACAUAAGUACUUAGGACUGUAUAUAGCUUAGGAAUUAGUUAUCAACGCUAAUUAAUGCAGAGCAUCCGGGCCUGUACCGUGUAAAUUAGUUAUCCAGGCUAAUGCAGAUAAGACAAACUAGCACCCAACAGCAACAAUACAAUCUCGAGAGAUUCAAGCAAGCAUAACAGCUAUUGGCCUAGGAAGCAUCGAAGAAUCUAUCUAUGCAUCUGAAAUACUACAAAAUGUAAGGUUGUUACUACCACCAGGUGCUCAUCGUCGUACACACUACAAGCAUAUGCCUAGCCCUUUGGCAGAGAUCUGAAGAAACCAGUGUUAAAUGCUGGAGCGUAUCCAUCGUUAAUCGCCUCUGGAACUGAUGUGAAUUUUUCCAGGGGAAGGUGGUCGCGCAUGGCUAAUUUGCCUCCAGAAAUGACCAUGAUCAUUCGAGCUUUCGAUUAAUUACGUUUAACGGAAGGAUUGCGACCAGAUAAUCCAUGGGAGGAGUUACCUCGGAGGCGGAUCCGCGCGGAGAAGAUGGGGGACAAGCGGCGGGGCAGGGGCAGCGGCGCCGCCCUCCUCGCGUGUGGCAGGGAGGAGCGGCGGGGGCGGCACGAGAUGGAGAAGCGCCCGCGACGGAGGGGACGGGGCGGUCAGAUCGGCGCGGCGGAAAUCCCUCGGCCGAAGGAGCUGGGCGGCGUCGGCGGCGAGACGUUGAGGGUAAGGUAGGGAAGGGAUGGAGGACGCGUGAGGUCGAACGAAUCUGAGAAGAAAUGGGACACUAGCACCAGUCCACGUUCUUCUUUUGGCCUUUUAGCAACGGAGAUACCAAUUUUAGACCUGUACUCUUUUGUAAGGGGAAUUUUAAGCACCUGCUUUCUUUUCCACAGAGAGAAAGAGAAACACCUGUGUUGAACAAACCAUGUAUUAUGGGGUGUACUCUCGGGGAAAAACAAGUUAGGGCAUCUCCAACGCUGACCCGCAAAUUUGCUCCGGCAUCUGUCCGAGGACAGGAACUAGUCCGCAGGCACUGAUGCGGAAGCCGGCCAAGUCUUUUCUUUUAAAGCUCGCACACUUAAAUAGCUGCAUAUAUAGUCUAGAAUAGUUCAAAUGCAACUGUAGUUUAAAUUAAAUAAGUUCAAAUAUUACACUCAAACAUUGUUGUCCCCUUUAACCGUCCACGUGCUCAAUCAGAUCUUCCUUCGGUUGCUCGAUGUCGAAUUUGUUGAUGCAUUUAAACAAACUCUUCAAAUGUGACCGGAUUCUGAUCAGGAAGUUCGAUAGGAUCACAAUGUUCUCAAAUUCAAGACUUGCGGCAGCAUCAUCACCCUCAUCCUCCAUGAUCAUUUUGUGUAUGAUCACACAACAGGUCAUCACCUCCGACAAGGUCUCCACAACCCAUUGUUUAGAUGGUCCACUGACAACUACAAAACAUGUCUGCAGAACUGCAAAUGCCCUCUGAACAUCCUUUCUAGACGUGGGAGGUGGAAAUUGAGAACACGCUCUUCCGCACACUCCACAUCUGCAAGGACCACCUGCAUCAUCAUUGUCUCAUCCGUGUAGUCCUCUUCGCCGGGCGAGAUGGCUGACAACUCAACAUAGUGCUCAUAUAUGUACUCCAUAUCCAAAUUCAAUGCUUGAAAGAAGAAGGGACAAAAAAUGUAGCAUGGGCAUUUCACUGAACAGUUGUCGGGCAUGGUGAGUAAUGUAGGAGCUGACGGUACCUGCGCGGUGGUCGAAGGAGAGGUGUGGAACGGUGGCGGAGGAGAACCGGCUUGGAUCCCGUGUGUACCAUUGGAUGUGAGGGGCUCAUUGGACACUGAUAGGGGUGUGCCAAGGCGGCCAAGGUGGUGGAGCGUCGACGAAGGCAUGAGAGAAAAAAGGAAGGAGAGAAAAUGGGAGGACAGAGGCACGAGGACUGGGAGGGGUUUCGAGUGGGCUGGGGGUGUCGGAGUCCUACGUGUCUGCUGUCCGGACUCUUGCAAAGCCCCCUAGUUUGUCUCGGGUUUGCCAAAAAAGUGCGUUCAAACCGGUUGGCGGAACGAUACAUGGCCGCGUUGGAUGGCACAACACGUCAGUUUGAGGUCGACUUACCGAAAAAGGCUUUCGUCCCGCUUUAUAAAUAAAGCAAACCACCAAGAGCACACAUACACAGACUAGUCCAGGACACACACACCACAAGAGGUACAAGGUUCUGCCGAGGGCACAGCUCAACAAGCCAAAAAAAAACAUAAAUAGGAAAGGCCAAAACCGUGCCAUCAUUACUUUGUUUGAAGCAUGGCCUUAUGAGUCUAAGACUUGUGUUAGGAGCACGGGAUCAUCGGUGGUGUGGGUGAUCAGGAGCGGGCAGCGAUUUGGGAGCGUGGAGUCGUUGGUGAUGCAUCAGUUCAGGUCUGGUCGCUUGGUCGACGGUGGUGAGUACCAGGAGCACCCUAAGGUGCGUUAGGCGAGUUAUGUCAAUCAUCCUCGUGGGAUUAGAGUGGCAUAGGAUCACUCUAUCAGAUGUAUCGUUCCUCUCUGGUGUCUUUGAGGUUUCGUGGAUAUGCUUGUGGAAAUCCGGACUAACACAAUGUUUUUCAGUGUGCACUUCGGUAGCGGCGAAGGCGUUUGAGUUUUCGUUCGGGUGUGUUGUAGGGUGUUGGUCUUCCGGCGUUUUGUAUGUAUUGUGGUGCUUUAGGCCUGGUCUAGCUAAGUGAUGUGUAUUUUUUUGGGUUUUCCUCGCCAUUUUACAAUUCUUCGUUUUGGGCACUCGUCUUAUGCGAUGCAUUUUUCCUUUGAAGGUGUUCUUGUAACACCCCUAUCUAUUCAAUGGAUUUGGCCGUCCUCCUAUCCACAUGUUAAAAAACGGAGCGAAAAAACUCUGGAUUACUGUGAAAAAUCCCGAGACAAAAAGGAGAUAUGAAAAUGAAAACAAACAUAAAUGAAACUUACAAGGAAAUGGAAUAAAAAAGGAAUAGUUGAAAUUUCUUACUCCCUCCGUCUCAAAGUAAUUGAAGUUCCGGGAUUGUCCUUAAUCAAACUUCACUAAGUUUGAUCAAAACUUCAUUAAGUUUGACUGAGUCUCAAGAUAAAACAUUUGUAUUAAAACCAUGGCACUUAUUUUAGAACGGAGAUAUGUAUUAUAACUGAUAUCAUAGAUGGUAAUUUUACCUCUUUUCUUAAGUGGCAGCAGGUUUCUACAAUCAUAAGCUGUCCUAAUUGUACAUGGAUUGUUCCUAAACACCAAUAAAGGAUGAGACUGAGGAGCAUGAAUCUACUGCACUGCUAGGAGCUUAAACUCGUCGUUCUUGCUUUCUUCAUGUUGUUUAUUAUCUGGAAAUGGGAGGAAGGAACAUACUACUCCCUUCGUUUCAUAAUGUAGUGUGUAUAGAUAUUUUGAAAAGUCAAACUUUACAAAGUUUGAUCAAGGUUGUAGAGAAAACUAUUUAUAUCUACAAUACCAAAUAUAUAAAAUAUGAAACUACAUCUUAUGAUGAAUUUAACAAUAUAUGUUUGGCAUUCGAGAUGCAAAUGUUUUUAUCCACAAACUUAGUCAAAAUUUGUGAGGUUUGACUUUUUAAAAUAUCUGCAUGUGCUAAAUUAUGGAACAGAGGGAGUACAAUACUGAAAAUAUCCAUUCAGAUUAAUUGGUUUUGCCUCAUCCAGGUCAUUUUAAGCCUAUAGACCUAUUUAUCUUCUUUUUUCGUAGCAUGCUUAUCCUUUUUCUCAAAUUUCUGUAGCUAACUCAAAGUUUGUAGAUCAUCAUAUGUCCUCAGAUGUCAUAUGAAAACUUCCCAAGUGUAGAUUCAUUGCCAGUUUGCCACUUCAAGUAGUUAAAGUAAAAAAGGAAUGUUGCAUAUCUCCUACGGAAUCUAGAUCCACCAGGAAACGUACCCUCUCGGAUCCCCACUAAUUAUCGUGUCGCACCCUGAUUGACCAGGUUUUGGCUGUCGAAAAAACUCAAAAACCCCAGAAAAAAAUAAUCCUAGUUGGGUUUAGUAUAUUUAGAAUUCUCUGGAAAUGGGAGGAAGGAACAUACUACAAUACUGAAAAUAUCCAUCCAGAUUCAUUGGUUUUGACUCAUCCAGGUCAUUUUUUAAGCCUACAGACCUAUUUAUCUCUUCUUCUUUUUUUUGCAGCAUGCUUAUCCUUUUCUCAUUUUUUCUCAAAUUUCUGUAGUAGCUAACUCAAAAUUUGUAGAUCAGCACAUCUCCUCAGAUGUUUGAUGAAGACUUCCCAAGUGUAGAUUCAUUGCCAGUUUGCCAGUGCCAGUAGUUAAAGUAGAAACGCACGUUACCGGCGCACCACCACCACUGCCCGUUGUCGGCGUUCCUGCUAAUGUGGGAGGUGAAAAGGGGGCAUCACCUUCUGAGCCGAAAGGUAAUUACUUAUCUUCUACGGAUUAUGACCGUAGGAGUAACCAUAGAUUCUUUCUUCAGAAUGCCAGUAUACAUUUCUUCAGCAUCGACUUUUUGUUAUGUUCAGUAUAAUGAGAUUUGGGGUUGUAGAUAAGUUAGCCAUGGGUUAUCUGGCCCUAAUAUUUCUAUCUGAUGUUGGCUUAAUCUAUGUUGCAGAAUGUAACCGCAGGAAUGCAAGAUGGGUUUCUGACAAGCGCAGACCACCAUACUCUGGUUUUGGCUUAUUUUAUGUUCUCACUAUCUGACCUUGUGUGCUUACUGUUUUUUCAGUCACCUCCCUAAACAGCUAAAGCAAGCGAAUACAAAGAGAAUCCCACGACUGAUGGAAAGCAUAAGAAAAAGCAAUUAAUUAAUAAACGGUUUUGCUAAUUUUCAUUCGUUCAGUCACGUAUUGUGUCCGUUGGAUCUUCGUGCGUGCUCGUUUGGUUAUUUGUUUUGGCGGGGUCGCUCAUGUGUUUAUGGGUUGCCCGUUAACCCGCGUCGUUGCCUGUAUGAUUCUCCUGUUUCUCUGAACUUGUCUUAUCAAUCUGCUUCUUGUUACUUUUUUCAGCAACUUCAGUAAUGUAUUUUAUGAUUGUAUGAUUACUGCAGCAGAAUUUACUUGGUUAGCUGAGUGUAAACUUGGGUGUACUAGUACUGUUACUUCUAGUUUAAGAGAUUGUUUUCUAUUUUUAUCAAUUAUUUCCGAGUUUUUAUUUUAUCCUUUCUGUUUCUAUAUAAGUGCAAAGAGAUCUACCAAUGUUCCAGUUUCAACAACCUUUACUCGCUAUUCUGGGAAGUUUUUCUCCAAUGUGGUGAAAAAUGUAAUCCCAAGCAGGGCUACUACAAUUUGCAAGGCCCCUUGAAGGUUUAACUUUUUUUACAGUGCAUUUAUGUGCCAUUUACAGUGUAAAAAAGAUGUAAUUUGCAAGGCCCCUUCACUCGCUAUUUGAAGACUAUGGUUGCAAGAAAUGUAACUUUUUUACCAGUGCAUUCCCAAGCUAGACUAUACGGUAGAUCACAUGAGUCAUGACUAUAGUUUAUUUCUGAGUGUUUUUACCUGAAUAUGUGUGUUGCUCCCAGUUGAAACUAAACUACUGUUGCAUUACAGAACAUCUUCUGUAUUAUUUAAAGUGUAACACGAAAUGUAGUUUUCAUGCAAAGCUAUAGUAUUUUUGAACCAUGUCUUCAAGUUGUUUGCUGCUGGAUACUAAACUACUGUUGUUUGUUUACAAUGCAUCUUCUGUGUUAUUUACAGUGCAACAAGAACUGUAAUUCUAAUGCAAAACUACAGUAAUUUUGAACCAUAGUUUUCAAGUUGUUUGCUGCUCGAUACUAAACUACUGUCGUGUUUUUAUAGUGCAUCUUCUUUAUUAUUUACAGAGCAAUAAGAACUGUAAUUAUCCUGCAAGGCUAUAGUAAUUUUGAAACAUAGCCUUUUAAGUUGUUUGCUGCUCCCAGUUUUACAGUGAGCUUACUGGGAUUUUAAUGUGUAUGUGUCACAGUAAAUAGCUUUGAUGCAUGUAUCUAUCUCAGGUAACACUAAUUUUCUAGUCUGCUCCUUAUGCUGUUUUUCCCUUUUUACAGUUAGCUAAAGGCUUUGUACUAUGCGGGUGUCAUUGAGAAUAGCUUGAUGCAUGUUUGUAUGUUUUUCGGUCAAAAGGAUUUCACAUUCCAACAGAGAAAUACCCAUGGCUCUUCUUUUUGCUUGUUCUGUCAGAUUUCUUACUGUUGAACCUUAGCAAUGCUAGAGAGGAUUUUUUGACAGAACUACUACUCAUGUGAUCUUUCAGCCCUUGUUCCUCUAAAGAACUUUUGAGUAGUGGUGGGAUCUGACAAACAGAGCUCUCCUGUGACCACAGAGUGAUGCUAGAGACACUUGUAUGGAUGAUUUGCAGUGCUAAUAUCAUUGUAACUUUUGCACAUAAUGACUGUAAGUUCUGUGUAAAUUGACUGUAAAUUUCUAAAAUUGGUGACUGUAAUUUUAGGUACUAAUGUAACUAUAUUUUUUUUUCUUAGAAUGACCGUAAGUUCUGUGUAAAUAGAACUGUAAAUGGCCGCUUACAGUCUCGAAUGACUGUAAAUUCAGUGUAAACAGCACUGUGAUUUUUUGUGAUAUGUUCAUUUAAUUUGAUUUGAUGGAUUCUUUUGGUGGUGUUGGUCUGUUUGUUUUGAGAUGAGAGAAGAUGCAGAAGAUUUAGAUGUACUGGGCGGGAUGAUUUUCUGACCUGUGGAUUUAGAAGCGCAUGUUUUAUGGCAGCCCUUCUAUACAUUGAUUUUGGCUGAAUCCGUUUUUCUGGGAGCCCUUAAUGCGUUGAUGGUUUGUGGACUUUUGGGCUGCAUAGCCGUAGGUUUAUAGCUGUAGUUUUAGCCGAUUGAUCUGUUUAAACCCGGGUCAAGUUGCAACCCUGUAAGGUUUGUUUGUGUGGAGUCAUUUAUCGUUGACAUAAGUACUGAGUGUGCGAAUGCGGUAAACGUCUUGCCGAUCCAGGCUGACGUGUUGCGUGUUAAAUAGAGGGGUGCGAGCCCUAAUACGCGUACAGGUUUGUUGGAGAGAUUACAUCUUGGGAGAAAAGAAUACAAGAGAUAAAAUAAGAUAAAGAGUACAAGAGUAUCCCGUAUAACUACCCCUCAUCCGGUGGCGAUCCUCCUUGCUGUACACGCUAACCAUAUCAUGCAUAUAUGUUUAACAUCCUCCCUUAAUCACAACUUCAUCAAGUUGAGAUUAUACUUGAAGACUUCAAAACUUUUUGUGGGAAGAGCUUUGGUGAAACCAUCUGCAACUUGGUCUUGGGAGUGAAUAAACCGAAUGUCUAAGAGUUUAUUUGCAACUCUCUCACGGACAAAAUGAAAAUCUAUCUCAAUAUAUUUAGUUCUAGCAUGAAAAAAUGGAUUUGCUGAUAAAUAGGUAGCACCUAGAUUAUCACACCAUAGACAUGGAGCUUUAGUGUUUUUCAUACCUAGUUCCUUCAAAAUUGACUGCACCCAUAUGAUCUCUGCGGUUGCAUUGGCCAAUGCUUUAUACUCUGCUUCUGUGCUAGAUCUAGAGACUGUGGCUUGUUUCCUUGCACUCUAAGAUAUCAAAUUAGGUCCAAAGAACACUGCAAAACCGCUAGUUGAGCGUCUGUCAUCUAAGCACCCUGCCCAAUCUGAGUCAGAGAAAGCACUGAUAAGUGUGGAGGAUGACUUGCUAAAAUUCAGACCAAUGCUCAAUGUAUUUUUCACAUAUCUCACUAUGUGUUUUGCAGCAGUCAAGUGAACUGUGGUAGGUGCAUGAAGGAAUUGACAUACUUUGUUAACAGCAAAUGAGAUAUCUGGUCGUGUCAAUGUCAAGUAUUGAAGAGCAUCUACCAGGCUUCUGUACUUUGUACUAUUCUCUGCGUCCAGAAGUUCUCCUUCAGCAAGAGAUAAUUUUUCUAUGCUGGAUAAAGGAGUGGGUGCAGGCUUACAACUUUGCAGACCAACCUUUUUUACUAAGUCAGUUGCAUACUUUUCUUGAGAGAGAUGAAGACCAUCCUUGUGCUGCCUAACCUCAAUACCUAGAAAGUAGUGUAGAUCCCCUAGAUCUUUGAGAGCAAAUUCUGCACUUAAAUCCUUCAACAGUGUUGUUAUUGCCUCAUCAGAUGAGCUUGUCACAAUUAUAUCAUCAACAUAAAUGAGAACAAAUAUGGAUAUUCUUGACUUGUUAUAAAUAAAUAAUGAAGUGUCAGAUUUUGAAGGAAUAAAACCAAGUGCUUGCAUCUUUUUACUGAGGCGAGAAUACCAUGCUCUUGGAGCCUGUUUCAGUCCAUACAACGCCUUGUCAAGUUUGCACACAUGAAGUGGUGCCUGUGCAUUUACAAAUCCAGGAGGUUGUUUCAUGUAAACCUCUUCUUCCAGAACAUCAUAGAGAAACGCGUUCUGAACGUCUAGCUGUCAUAGACUCCAUCCCCUAGACACAGCAAUGGACAAGACAAGACGUAUGGUAGUUGCUUUAACAACUGGACUAAACGUGUCCUCAUAGUCAAUACCAUAUCUUUGUUUAAAGCCCUUUGCAACGAGUCUAGCUUUGUAACGGUCAAUAGUUCCAUCAGCUUUUCUUUUUAUCCUAAAGACCCACUUACAGUCAACAAGAUUUUUACCUUGUCUUGGAGGAACCAAGUGCCACGCUUUAUUUUUCCUUAGUGCCACAAUCUCAUCAUGCAUUGCCUUUCUCCAAUGUGCAUCACCAAGAGCCUCUUCAAGAGUGCUGGCUUCUCCUGGUUCACCUGUUGAACAAAUCAUCCCAUACUUUGUGAUAUGUUUAUAAUCAACGGGUUUAAUUAAACCUUGUUGUAGCCGCGUGCGACAUGGAGUAGUGGCAGGAGGUACUACAGAGACCCCCGGCGCAGACGAUCCCGCGCCUGGAUCAGAUUGGUCCUCUGCCGAUCCCGAGGAGGAUCCGAACACAGCUCCAGAACCUGCGUGGGCAGUAGUAGCAGCCGGGUCGGGAUCUUCUGUGGUUGCCAGCUGUGACGCACGUGGUGAAUCAGCCACAGAAAAUCUGGGCCGACAAGCAUCAUCAUCUCCUCGUGAUGGCCUGGGCCCUGCUUCGACAGGAUCUGUCCCCGCGCUUGUCGCGCGAGUCGCAGCUCGCCGCUUGUAAACAAGCUGUUGGGCCUGAGGCCGCGCGCGGUCCAGGCCAGUGCCGGGCCGCCAUCUGUCUGGCGGCGAUUGGUGUGCAUGGGGAGAAUCUCCGCGGCCUUCCAGAGCCCGUCGCGUGGCUGGCACGGACGGCUCGGUGCGCCCACCUGCGGCUGGCUCGGCUGGAUGCGCGCCUGCGCCUGCGCCUGUCGGGUCUGGUGCAGCAGAUCUGCGGCAGAGCUCCGAUCCCGAGGUGGAUGCGCUGCGCGGCAGCAGAUCCUACCCAGAUCCCGAGGAGGAUUUGUUGCUCAGGCGGGGACACAUGAAAUAUGGAGCUGCUGCACUGUUUUCUUCACCAUUUGCUGCGAUUUUUUCACCGCUAUUUUCUGCAUCAUCACAAGACUCAUAAAGACCAUCAGUAGGGUUAGUCAACAUAUGAUCAUCACAAUUAGUAAUGCCCCCUUGAUCAUAGCCAGAGAGAUGGGAUGGUAGAAGCAAGAUUUCCUUGCGUAGGAGAGCACCGACAUUAGGAUGUAGGUCCGCAAAGGGAAACUUGGUCUUAUCAAACACGACAUCCCGUGAGAUGUAGACCCGACCAGUGGAGAUGUCAAGGCAUUUGACACCUUUGUGCUGAGCACUAUAGCCAAGAAAAGCACAUUGCUUGGAUCUAAGCAUGAGUUUGCGAUUAUUGUACGGACGAAGAUUGGGCCAACAAGCACAGCCAAAAACACGGAGAGAUGUGUAGUCUGGUUUGACAUGGAGAAGGCGUUCCAUAGGUUUUUCAUUAUUGAUGACACGACUAGGUAGCAUGUUUAUGAUGUGGACAGCGGUAAGAAACGCCUCAUCCCAGAAUUUGAGGGGCAUAGAAGCUCCUGCGAGAAGAGCCAAACCGACCUAAACUAUGUGCCUAUGCUUUCGUUCGGCCGACCCGUUUUGUUGGUGAGCGUGUGGGCAGGAUACUGUUGGGGAACGUAGUAAUUUCAAAAAAAUUCCUACGCACACGCAAGAUCAUGGUGAUGCAUAGCAACGAGAGGGGAGAGUGUUGUCUACGUACCCUCGUAGACCGAAGCGGAAGCGUUGACGCAACAUAGAGGAAGUAGUCGUACGUCUUCCCGGUCCAACCGAUCCAAGCACCGUUACUCCGGCACCUCCGAGUUCUUGACACACGUACAACUCGAUGACGCACCCCGGGCUCCGAUCCAGCAAAGCUUCGGGGAGGAGUUUCGUCAGCACGACGGCGUGGUGAUGAUCUUGAUGUUUAACCGUCGCAGGGCUUCGCCUAAGCACCGCUACAAUAUGAUCGAGGUGUAAUAUCGUGGAGGGGGGCACCGCACACGGCUAAGGAACAAUCACGAAGAUCAACUUGUGUGUUCUAGGGUGCCCCCCUGCCCCCGUAUAUAAAGGAGCCAAGGGGGGUGCGGCCGGCCCUAGUAGGAGGCGUGCAGGAGGAGUCCUACUCCUACCGGGAGUAGGACUCCCCUCCCUUUCCUUGUCCAAGUAGGAGAGGGGGAAGGAAGGGAGAGAGGAGAGGAAGGAAAGGGGGGGGGGCGCCGCCCCUCCCUCCUUGUCUAAUUCGGACUAGGGGGAGAGGGGGCGCGCGGCCUGCCCUGGCUGCCUUUCCUCUUCUCCACUUUAGGCCCAUGGGCCCAUUAACCCCCCGGGGGGUUAUGGUAACCCCCCGGUUCUCCGGUUUUAUCCGAAACUUCCCCGGAACACUUCCGGUGUCCGAAUAUAGCCGUCCAAUAUAUCAAUCUUUAUGUCUCGACCAUUUCGAGAUUCCUCGUCAUGUCCGUGAUCACAUCCGGGACUCCGAACAACCUUCGGUACAUCAAAAUACAUAAACUCAUAAUGAAACUGUCAUCGUAACUUUAAGCGUGCGGACCCUACGGUUCGAGAACAAUGUAGAAAUGACCGAGACACAUCUCCGGUCAAUAACCAACAGCGGGACCUGGAUGCCCAUAUUGGCUCCUACAUAUUCUAUGAAGAUCUUUUAUCGGUCAGACCGCAUAACAACAUACGCUGUUCCCUUUGUCAUCGGUAUGUUACUUGCCCGAGAUUCGAUCGUCGGUAUCCAAUACCUAGUUCAAUCUCGUUACCGGCAAGUCUCUUUACUCGUUCCGUAAUACAUCAUCCCGCAACUAACUCAUUAGUUGCAAUGCUUGCAAGGCUUAAGUGAUGUGCAUUACCGAGAGGGCCCAGAGAUACCUCUCCGACGAUCGGAGUGACAAAUCCUAAUCUCGAAAUACGUCAACCCAACAUGUACCUUUGGAGACACGUGUAGAGCACCUUUAUAAUCACCCAGUUACGUUGUGACGUUUGGUAGCACACAAAGUGUUCCUCCGGCACACGGGAGUUACAUAAUCUCAUAGUCAUAGGAACAUGUAUAAGUCAUGAAGAAAGUAAUAGCAACAUACUAAACGAUCGGGUGCUAAGCUAGUGGAAUGGGUCAUGUCAAUCAGAUCAUUCAACUAAUGAUGUGAUCCCGUUAAUCAAAUGACAACUCUUUGUCCAUGGUUAGGAAACAUAACCAUCUUUGAUUAACGAGCUAGUCAAGUAGAGGCAUACUAGUGACACUUUGUUUGUCUAUGUAUUCACACAUGUAUUAUGUUUCCGGUUAAUACAAUUCUAGCAUGAAUAAUAAACAUUUAUCAUGAUAUAAGGAAAUAAAUAAUAUCUUUAUUAUUGCCUCUAGGGCAUAUUUCCUUCAGUCUCCCACUUGCACUAGAGUCAAUAAUCUAGAUUACACAGUAAUGAUUCUAACACCCAUGGAGCCUUGGUGCUGAUCAAGUUUUGCUCGUGGAAGAGGCUUAGUCAACGGGUCUGCCACAUUCAGAUCCGUAUGUAUCUUGCAAAUCUCUAUGUCUCCCACCUGGGCUAGAUCCCGGAUGGAAUUGAAGCGUCUCUUGAUGUGCUUGGUUCUUUUGUGAAAUAUGGAUUCCUUUGCCAAGGCAAUUGCACCAGUAUUGUCACAAAAGAUUUUCAUUGGACCCGAUGCACUAGGUAUGACACCUAGAUCGGAUAUGAACUCCUUCAUGCAGACUCCUUCAUUUGCUACUUCCGAAGCAGCUAUGUACUCCGCUUCACAUGUAGAUCCCGCCACGAUGCUUUGUUUAGAACUGCACCAACUGACAGCUCCACCGUUUAAUGUAAACACGUAUCCGGUUUGCGAUUUAGAAUCGUCCGGAUCAGUGUCAAAGCUUGCAUCAACGUAACCGUUUACGAUGAGCUCUUUGUCACCUCCAUAUACGAGAAACAUAUCCUUAGUCCUUUUCAGGUAUUUCAGGAUGUUCUUGACCGCUGUCUAGUGAUCCACUCCUGGAUUACUUUGGUACCUCCCUGCUAAACUUAUAGUAAGGCACACAUCAGGUCUGGUACACAACAUUGCAUACAUGAUAGAGCCUAUGGCUGAAGCAUAGGGAACAUAUUUCAUUUUCUCUCUAUCUUCUGUAGUGGUCGGGCAUUGAGUCUGACUCAACUUCACACCUUGUAACACAGGCAAGAACCCUUUCUUUGCUUGAUCCAUUUUGAACUUCUUCAAAAUCUUGUCAAGGUAUGUGCUUUGUGAAAGUCCAAUUAAGCGUCUUGAUCUAUCUCUAUAGAUUUUUAUUCCUAAUAUGUAAGCAGCUUCACCGAGGUCUUUCAUUGUAAAACGCUUAUUCAAGUAUCCCUUUAUGCUAUCCAGAAAUUCUAUAUCAUUUCCAGUCAGUAAUAUGUCAUGCACAUAUAAUAUCAGAAAUGCUACAGAGCUCCCACUCACUUUCUUGUAAAUACAUGCUUCUCCAAAAGUCUGUAUAAAACCAAAUGCUUUGAUCACACUAUCAAAGCGUUUAUUCCAACUCCGAGAGGCUUGCACCAGUCCAUAAAUGGAUCGCUGGAGCUUGCACACUUUGUUAGCUCCCUUUGGAUCGACAAAACCUUCCGGUUGCAUCAUAUACAACUCUUCUUCCAGAAAUCCAUUCAGGAAUGCAGUUUUGACAUCCAUCUGCCAAAUUUCAUAAUCAUAAAAUGCGGCAAUUGCUAACAUGAUUCGGACAGACUUAAGCAUCGCUACGGGUGAGAAGGUCUCAUCGUAGUCAACCCCUUGAACUUGUCGAAAACCUUUUGCGACAAGUCUAGCUUUGAAGACAGUAAUAUUACUGUCAGCGUCAGUCUUCUUCUUGAAGAUCCAUUUAUUCUCAAUUGCUUGCCGAUCAUCGGGCAAGUCAACCAAAGUCUAUACUUUGUUUUCAUACAUGGAUCCCAUCUCAGAUUUCAUGGCUUCAAGCCAUUUCGCGGAAUCUGGGCUCACCAUCGCUUCUUCAUAAUUCGUAGGUUCAUCAUUAUCUAGUAGCAUGAUUUCCAAAACAGGAUUACCGUACCACUCUGGUGCGGAUCUUACUCUGGUUGACCUACGAGGCUCAGUAGUAACUUGAUCUGAAAUUUCAUGAUCAUCAUCAUUAAAUUCCUCACCAAUUGGUGUAGGUGUCGCAGAAACCGAUUUCUGUGAUGAACUACUUUCCAAUAAGGGAGCGGGUACAGUUACCUCAUCAAGUUCUACUUUCCUCCCACUCACUUCUUUCGAGAGAAACUCCUUCUCUAGAAAGGAUCCAUUCUUAGCAACGAAUGUCUUGCCUUCGGAUCUGUGAUAGAAGGUGUACCCAACAGUCUCCUUUGGGUAUCCUAUGAAGACACAUUUCUCCGAUUUGGGUUCGAGAUUACCAGGUUGAAGCUUUUUCACAUAAGCAUCGCAGCCCCAAACUUUAAGAAACGACAACUUUGGUUUCUUGCCAAACCAUAGUUCAUAAGGCGUCGUCUCAAUGGAUUUUAAUGGUGCCCUAUUUAACGUGAAUGCGGCCGUCUCUAAAGCAUAACCCCAAAACGAUAGCGGUAAAUCAGUAAGAGACAUCAUAGAUCGCACCAUAUCUAGUAAAGUACGAUUACGACGUUCGGACACACCAUUACGCUGUGGUGUUCUGGGUGGCGUGAGUUGCGAAACUAUUCCGCAUUGUUUCAAAUGUACACCAAACUCGUAACUCAAAUAUUCUCCUCCACGAUCAGAUCGUAGAAACUUUAUUUUCUUGUUACGAUGAUUUUCAACUUCACUCUGAAAUUCUUUGAACUUUUCAAAUGUUUCAGACUUAUGUUUCAUUAAGUAGAUAUACCCAUAUCUGCUUAAGUCAUCUGUGAAGGUGAGAAAAUAACGAUAUCCGCCAUGAGCCUCAAUAUUCAUCGGACCACAUACAUCUGUAUGUAUGAUUUCCAACAAAUCUGUUGCUCUCUCCAUAGUACCGGAGAACGGUGUUUCAGUCAUCUUGCCCAUGAGGCACGGUUCGCAAGUACCAAGUGAUUCAUAAUCAAGUGGUUCCAAAAGUCCAUCAAUAUGGAGUUUCUUCAUGCGCUUUACACCGAUAUGACCUAAACGGCAGUGCCACAAAUAAGUUGCACUAUCAUUAUCAACUCUGCAUCUUUUGGUUUCAACAUUAUGAAUAUGUGUAUCACUACUAUCGAGAUUCAUCAGAAAUAGACCACUCUUCAAGGGUGCAUGACCAUAAAAGAUAUUACUCAUAUAAAUAGAACAACCAUUAUUCUCUGAUUUAAAUGAAUAACCGUCUUGCAUCAAACAAGCUCCAGAUAUAAUGUUCAUGCUCAACGCUGGCACCAAAUAACAAUUAUUUAGGUCUAAUACUAAUCCCGAAGGUAGAUGUAGAGGUAGCGUGCCGACCGCGAUCAUAUCGACUUUGGAACCAUUUCCCACGCGCAUCGUCACCUCGUCCUUUGCCAGUGUUCGCUUAAUCCGUAGUCCCUGUUUCGAGUUGCAAAUAUUAGCAACAGAACCAGUAUCAAAUACCCAGGUGUGCGAGCUCUAGUAAGGUACACAUCAAUAACAUGUAUAUCAUAUAUACCUUUGUUCACCUUGCCAUCCUUCUUAUCCGCCAAAUACUUGGGGCAGUUCCGCUUCCAGUGACCAGUCUGCUUGCAGUAGAAGCACUCAGUUUCAGGCUUAGGUCCAGACUUGGGUUUCUUCUCUUGAGCAGCAACUUGCUUGCUGUUCUUCUUGAAGUUCCCCUUCUUCUUCCCUUUGCCCUUUUUCUUGAAACUAGUGGUCUUAUUGACCAUCAACACUUGAUGCUCCUUUUUGAUUUCUACCUCCGCAGCUUUCAGCAUUGCGAAGAGCUCGGGAAUAGUCUUAUUCAUCCCUUGCAUAUUAUAGUUCAUCACGAAGCUCUUGUAGCUUGGUGGCAGUGAUUGGAGAAUUCUGUCAAUGACGCAAUCAUCUGGAAGAUUAACUCCCAUCUGAAUCAAGUGAUUAUUAUACCCAGACAUUUUGAGUAUAUGCUCACUGACAGAAUUGUUCUCCUCCAUCUUGCAGCUAUAGAACUUAUUGGAGACUUCAUAUCUCUCAAUCCGGGCAUUUGCUUGAAAUAUUAACUUCAACUCCUGAAACAUCUCAUAUGCUCCAUGACGUUCAAAACGUCGUUGAAGUCCCGAUUCUAAGCCGUAAAGCAUGGCACACUGAACUAUCGAGUAGUCAUCAGCUUUGCUCUGCCAGACGUUCAUAACAUCUGGUGUUGCUCCAGCAGCAGGCCUUGCACCCAGCGAUGCUUCCAGGACGUAAUUCUUCUGUCCGGCAAUGAGGAUAAUCCUCAAGUUACGGACCCAGUCCGUGUAAUUGCUACCAUCAUCUUUCAACUUUGCUUUCUCAAGGAACGCAUUAAAAUUCAACGGAACAACAGCACGGGCCAUCUAUCUACAAUCAGACAUACAUAAGCAAGAUACUAUCAGGUACUAAGUUCAUGAUAAAUUUAAGUUCAAUUAAUCAUAUUACUUAAGAACUCCCACUUAGAUAGACAUCCCUCUAAUCCUCUAAGUGAUCACGUGAUCCAAAUCAACUAAACCAUAACCGAUCAUCACGUGAAAUGGAUUAGUUUUCAAUGGUGAACAUCAUUAUGUUGAUCAUAUCUACUAUAUGAUUCACGCUCGACCUUUCGGUCUCUGUGUUCCGAGGCCAUAUAUGCAUAUGCUAGGCUCGUCAAGUUUAACCUGAGUAUUCUGCGUGUGCAAAACUAGCUUGCACCCGUUGUAGAUGGACGUAGAGCUUAUCACACCCAAUCAUCACGUGGUGUCUGGGCACGACGAACUUUGGCAACGGUGCAUACUCAGGGAGAACACUUCUUGAUAAUUUAGUGAGAGAUCAUCUUAUAAUGCUACCGUCAAUCAAAGCAAGAUAAGAUGCAUAAAAGAUAAACAUCACAUGCAAUCAAUAUAAGUGAUAUGAUAUGGCCAUCAUCAUCUUGUGCUUGUGAUCUCCAUCUCCGAAGCACCGUCAUGAUCACCAUCGUCAUCGACGCGAUACCUUGAUCUCCAUCGUAGCAUCGUUGUCAUCUCGCCAAUCUUAUGCUUCUACGACUAUCGCUACCGCUUAGUGAUAAAGUAAAGCAUUACAGGGCGAUUGCAUUGCAUACAAUAAAGCGACAACCAUAUGGCUCCUGCCAGUUGCCGAUAACUCAGUUACAAAACAUGAUCAUCUCAUACAAUAAAAUUUAGCAUCAUGUCUUGACCAUAUCACAUCACAACAUGCCCUGCAAAAACAAGUUAGACGUCCUCUACUUUGUUUGUUGCAAGUUUUACGUGGCUGCUACGGGCUUAAGCAAGAAACAAUCUUACCUACGCAUGAAAACCACAACGAUAGUUUGUCAAGUUGAUGCCGUUUUAACCUUCGCAAGGACCGGGCGUAGCCACACUCGGUUCAAAUAAAGUUGGAUAAACUGACACCCACCAGCCACCUGUGUGCAAAGCACGGCGGUAGAACCAGUCUCGCGUAAGCGUACGCGUAAUGUCGGUCCGGGCCGCCUCAUCCAACAAUACCGCCGAACCAAAGUAUGACAUGCUGGUAGGCAGUAUGACUAAUACCGCCCACAACUCACUUGUGUUCUACUCAUGCAUAUAACAUCAAACCAUAAAACCUAGGCUCGGAUGCCACUAUUGGGGAACAUAGUAAUUUCAAAAAAAUUCCUACGCACACGCAAGAUCAUGGUGAUGCAUAGCAACGAGAGGGGAGAGUGUUGUCUACGUACCCUCGUAGACCGAAGCGGAAGCAUUGACGCAAUGUAGAGGAAGUAGUCGUACGUCUUCCCGGUCCAACCGAUCCAAGCACCGUUACUCCGGCACCUCCGAGUUCUUGACACACGUACAGCUCGAUGACGCACCCCGGGCUCCAAUCCAGCAAAGCUUCGGGGAGGAGUUUCGUCAGCACGACGGUGUGGUGACGAUCUUGAUGUUUAACCGUCGCAGGGCUUCACCUAAGCACCGCUACAAUAUGAUCGAGGUGUAAUAUCGUGGAGGGGGGCACCGCACACGGCUAAGGAACGAUCACGAAGAUCAACUUGUGUGUUCUAGGGUGCCCCCUGCCCCCGUAUAUAAAGGAGCCAAGGGGGGUGCGGCCGGCCCUAGUAGGAGGCGCGCAGGAGGAGUCCUACUCCUACCGGGAGUAGGACUCCCCUCCCUUUCCUUGUCCAAGUAGGAGAGGGGAAAGGAAGGGAGAGAGGAGAGGAAGGAAAGGGGGGGGGGCGCCGCCCCUCCCUCCUUGUCCAAUUCGGACUAGGGGGAGAGGGGGCGCGCGGCCUGUCCUGGCUGCCUUUCCUCUUCUCCACUUUAGGCCCAUGAGGCCCAUUAACCCCCCGAGGGGUUUUGGUAACCCCCCGGUUCUCUGAUUUUAUCCGAAACUUCCUCGGAACACUUUCGGUGUCCGAAUAUAGCCGUCUAAUAUAUCAAUCUUUAUGUCUCGACCAUUUCGAGACUCCUCGUCAUGUCCGUGAUCACAUCUGGGACUCCGAACAACCUUCGGUACAUCAGAAUACAUAAACUCAUAAUGAAACUGUCAUCGUAACUUUAAGCGUGCGGACCCUACGGUUCGAGAACAAUGUAGACAUGACCGAGACACGUCUCUGGUCAAUAACCAAUAGCGAGACCUGGAUGCCCAUAUUGGCUCCUACAUAUUCUACGAAGAUCUUUUAUCGGUCAGACCGCAUAACAACAUACGUUGUUCCCUUUGUCAUCGGUAUGUUACUUGCCCGAGAUUCGAUCGUCGGUAUCCAAUACCUAGUUCAAUCUCGUUACCGGCAAGUCUCUUUACUCGUUCCAUAAUACAUCGUCCCGCAACUAACUCAUUAGUUGCAAUGCUUGCAAGGCUUAAGUGAUGUGCAUUACCGAGAGGGCCCAGAGAUACCUCUCCGACGAUCGGAGUGACAAAUCCUAAUCUCGAAAUACAUCAACCCAACAUGUACCUUUGGAGACACCUGUAGAGCACCUUUAUAAUCACCAGUUACGUUGUGACGUUUGGUAGCACACAAAGUGUUCCUCCGGCACACGGGAGUUACAUAAUCUCAUAGUCAUAGGAACAUGUAUAAGUCAUGAAGAAAGCAAUAGCAACAUACUAAACGAUCGGGUGCUAAGCUAGUGGAAUGGGUCAUGUCAAUCAGAUCAUUCAACUAAUGAUGUGAUCCCGUUAAUCAAAUGACAACUCUUUGUCCAUGGUUAGGAAACAUAACCAUCUUUGAUUAAAGAGCUAGUCAAGUAGAGGCAUACUAGUGACACUUUGUUUGCCUAUGUAUUCACACAUGUAUUAUGUUUCCGGUUAAUACAAUUCUAGCAUGAAUAAUAAACAUUUAUCAUGAUAUAAGGAAAUAAAUAAUAUAUUUAUUAUUGCCUCUAGGGCAUAUUUCCUUCAGAUACAUGGUGUGAUAUGCCAAUGUUUUGGAAGAAGGAAUUGAGUUUCUCGUAUUCCUCUCCCCAAUCGGAUUGGAAAGCUAUAAUUUUGCUGUCAAACUUCCUUUCAACUAGUGCUUGGAAGUUCUUAAAGACUUGAAAUAUGUCGGAUCGUUUCUUAAGAAGAUAGAUCCAGGAGAACUUGCUAUAGUCAUCGAUAAAACUCACAUGGUAAGUGUGUCUGCCAAUAGAGGAGGGAGCAGGACCCCACACAUCAGAAAAGAUCAAUUGCAAAGGUUUAGUGGAGACACUAGUAGAUAUAGGAUAUGGUAGAUGAUGACUUUUAGCACACUGACAUGAGUCACAAAUAGUUUCAAUGUUUCGCUCACCAACAAACGGGAGCUUAUUUUUCCUAAGUAACUUUUCAACUAAAGAAAAAGAAGCAUGUCCUAAACGAUCGUGCCAUCGUGUGGACGAAAGCUUGAUAGCACCACAAGCUUGUUUAUUGAAUCGUCUAAACUCCGGAAUCAACGGGUAGAGCCCUUGAACACAUCUACCUCGAUAGAGCACUUUCUUCGUUGCCUGAUCCUUAAUCAAAAAGAAAUAAGGGUGAAACUCGAGAAAGACAUGAUUGUCAAUAGCAAUUCUAUGAACAGAUAGAAGAUUUUUGUGGGCACUAGGAACAUGCAAGAUUCUUUUGAGAUGUAUUUUUCGUUUGGGGGUAUUAAAAACUGAAUGACCAAUGUGACGUAUGCCCAUACCUUCACCACUGGCCGUGUGGAUUUGGUCUUUUCCACGAUACUUCUCCUUCAUGAUGACCUUCUCAAGCUCGUUGGUGAUGUGGUUGGUGGCUCCGCUAUCGACAUACCAAUUUGUGUCGACCCCGUAGGAACCAUCGGCAGCAGCAGCAAUUUUUUCUUCAUCUUGCGAGGAAUCACCAUCAUCAUCUUCGUAGCGGUACCAACAGUCCCUCGUUGUGUGGCCGGGCUUGCCGCAAAUUUGGCAGCGAGGCAAGUCCGGACGCGAUCUGUUGGAGCCACCCCCACGGCGCCCUUUGGAGCUGCCAGAGCGUCCGCCGCCACGAGUGUUGUUGAAGGAGCCGCCGCCACCGGACCUCCCCUUGCCACGAGAGGAGGGACGAGAGCGAGAGCCGCCACCGCGGCCUCUGGAGACAGAGUUGGCCGAGGACUUGAAGCCGCCGCCGGAGCCGUGAAACUGCGCCAUACGCUGAUCAAAAUUGCUAAGCAUAGCGAAGAGCUCAUCAAGGGUUACCGGAGUGACACGAGCGUCCAGGGCGGAGACGAGGGGCUGGUAGUCUUGAUCUAGCCCGUGGAUGAUGUAGGAUAUGAGCUCGUCGUCUUGGAUUGGUUUCCCCGCUGCGGCGAGUUCAUCAGCGAGCCCUCUCAUGGCGGCGAAGAAGGAGGACACCGAUUGGUUGCCCUUCUGCGCGUUGAUCAGCGCCGUGCGAAUGUUGUUGACGCGGCUGAGGGACUGCGACGAGAACAUGCUCGCCAGCGCCACCCAGAGUUCGCGCGCCGUGGUGAUCGCAGUCACCGUGACGAGCACUUCCUUGGACAGGUGUUGAAGUAGAUAUCCAAGGACUUGCUGAUCCUCCUUCACCUAGAGCGGAUGAAGAGGGUUCGGCUCCGUAGUUUCUUUCCCAGCGGCAUCUUUGGUGACGUGGGUUUUGGCCGGCUCGGUCGAUGUGCCGUCGACGUAGUGGUAGACGCCGGCGCCCCGCAGCUGUGGCGUGAUCUGGGUUCGCCACGGGAUGUAGUUGGUGUGGGAGAGUUUCUCCGUGACUCCUCCGCUGAGGGUUGGCUGGGAGGAGGAGGUGGAGGAAGACAUGCUGCGCACUUUGGCGGAGAUGGGUUAGCUAAGGUUUUGGGAAGAAGAUUGCUCUGUAUACCAUGUGCGAAUGCGGUAAACGUCUUGCCGAUCCAGGCUGACGUGUUGCGUGUUAAAUAGAGGGGUGCGAGCCCUAAUACGCGUACAUGUUUGUUGGAGAGAUUACAUCUUGGGAGAGAAGAAUACAAGAGAUAAAACAAGAUAAAGAGUACAAGAGUAUCCCGUAUAACUACCCCUCAUCCGGUGGCGAUCCUCCUUGCUGUACACGCUAACCAUAUCACGCAUAUAUGUUUAACACUGAGCAUGGACAAAAAUAUGGACAUACAGAUACAUACAAGUGUCAUUUUGUUAUUGGUUGAAAACCUGAAUGAUGUCCAAUUGAUUUUCAGUCAGUUGACAAGUAGACACUCCCUUAUAAUUAAUAAACAGCGGAAUUAUUCUUACUCAAUAUUUAGAAUAUGUAACGAAAUUGCUUCUCCUUUUUGUGCUAUGUCAGCAAAGCAUCCAAAGAGUUGUUCUAUGAGGGCAAAGAAGACCAAGAAGACCAAGCAGUAACUUAGAAGAAGCAAAUGGACGGAAGUGAAUGGGUCAUGUAGAAAAACGCACCCUAAUAAAUAGUCCAUGUGCCCAUGGAAUGUACGCCUUUGUUUCUAAAUAACUGAAAUAAAUCUGUUACUACAGCCGCUUGGUUUACUCCAGUAUCUCAACCCACAGACAUUAGUAUGAUGUACAGGCACAUCUCACUUGUCUCAGAAGAUGGCUCGGCUGACCAGGGCUGUAAAACUAGGGCAGUUUGCCAGGUCUUAUAUAACCCGGACUCCUGGAGAGAACAAUCACGCCUCAUUCAUAUGACCUGAGCAUAGGGUUCAUUUGAUCGUAUCACACUCACACCAAAGUUAGGCAGUUUUGAUUCGUUUCUUUUCACAUCAGAUCAUGCAGAUUUAUGUUCGACAGAUCAUUCACAUGCGAUGCAGCAUGGGGUAGAGGGCAGAUAUCAUACUGCACCUUCACGGAGUCACUCUAAGGACAUGGUUUUUGUGCCGUGCGAAGCUGCGGACAUGCAGCGUUCCUUGGUUCUAACUUUCUUCAAUGUUAACAAGUUGCUGAGAUGGACAUACAGUUCGUAAUUUGGCCACCACAUAGUACGAUGUGAAGAUGUGAACUUGCAAAUGUCGCGGCCCAGUUGUCAUAGUCUGUACUUUGUAAUUUGCUGAUCUACUUAGUCCAAGUUAUGAUAUGUAUACAGUGAUGGAUUCGUCGCUGGUAUUUACCAAUGUUUUAAAUAGUGGGCUAUGGACAGGGCUGAAGUAUGGACAACAUCAAGCAGCAAGCAGCAAGCAGGCAAGGAUUCUUUCCACCAGUGUGCAUUCAUGUGGUUAUGAGCUUCUUUUUGUAAUUUUUCUUAAAUGGAGACAAAAAUUUACCUCAUCUAUGAAUUAAGAAGAAAAUAGAGUUUGUUUUACAAGGCUCAUAAGCCCUCAAUACAUAAAGGAUCGCUCUCCCAAUAUUAUUAACUUCAACUUCUUUGAACCCGUGGUAACCCAAAGCUUAGCCUCACAUUUGAUUUAAUUCAGUAGGAUUGUCGGCGGAGCAUAGUUGUGCCGGAAGACACGUGCAUUUCUUUCAUUCGAAUUAGUCCAGCUAAUAAGCAAUGUUGAGAGAGGUCAUAGCUUUCCUAUUCCGGACACAUUUAUCGGAUAGGUUGGUUCACCAUCUUUUAUAAGAUAGCCUGGAGUGCCAAGAAGAUGUGUCAAUGUUCCCAAGGUGUAGCCUCAUUUGCAAAGUUUCAAAGGCAGAGGGUAAAGUGGCACUUGAAGAAAAGAUGCAUCCCGGAUUCUUGUUCUCUUUUGCAAAGGUAGCGAAGACUACAAUUUGGCUAACCUCGCUUGACCAACUGAUCGACAGUCCGAAUCCUAUCUUGAAUAGCCAACCAAGCAAAAAGCUUGACCUUGGGAGGGGCACAAGCCUUCCAAACCAUCUGCUCCAUAGGCAAGUAGAAAUUUCCCAUGUAUUGCGACAAAUAAGCGGAAGCCGCCAAGUAUAGCCCAUUUUCCGUGUGCUUCCAAACUAUGUCAUCCUCCGCAUGCUCAUCAAACUGGAAAUCUCGUAGAAGUAUCCAAAAAUCAAUAAUUUGUUGCAUGUGAUAUAUGGAGAAGUUGGCCCCGAUCUUAAAUUUUUGAUACCCAAGCAUCACCAUGGAUAGCCCCCCUGUUGGGUAUCGUUGCAUGGAAAACAAAAAAGUUUCUACGCACAUGCAGUGAUCUAUCCAUGGAGAUGCAUAGCAACAAGGGGGAGAGUGUGUCUACGUACCCUCGUAGACCGUAAGCGGGAGCAUUUCACAACGCGGUUGAUGUAAUCGAACUUCUUCGCGCUUCAACCGAUCAAGUACCGAACGCACGACGCCUCCGUGUUCUGCACACGUUCAGCUCGAUAACGUCCCUCACCUUCUUGAUCCAGCAAGACGUCGAGGUAGUAGAUGAGUUCCGUCAGCACGACGGCAUGGUGACGGUGAUGGUGAAGUGAUCUCUGUAGGGCUUCGCCUAAGCACUACAAAAAUAUGAUCGGGGUGUAAACAGUGGAGGGGGACGCCGCACACGGCUAGGCAAUUGUCUGGUUUGUGCUAGUGCGCCCCCCACAUAUAUAUAGGUGAGAGGGAGAGGGAAGGCUGCCAGGAGGCGCCCCAAGUAGGCCGAAUCCUACUUGGGGUCCUCCCCAAGUGGCGCCCCCUGCCAUAUUUAACCGAGGGAGAAGGNNNNNNNNNNNNNNNNNNNNNNNNNNNNNNNNNNNNNNNNNNNNNNNNNNNNNNNNNNNNNNNNNNNNNNNNNNNNNNNNNNNNNNNNNNNNNNNNNNNNNNNNNNNNNNNNNNNNNNNNNNNNNNNNNNNNNNNNNNNNNNNNNNNNNNNNNNNNNNNNNNNNNNNNNNNNNNNNNNNNNNNNNNNNNNNNNNNNNNNNNNNNNNNNNNNNNNNNNNNNNNNNNNNNNNNNNNNNNNNNNNNNNNNNNNNNGAAUCCUAAUCCACACUUUCCUUUUCCUUCUCCCCUUUUCUUCCCCUCCUUAGGCCGGCCCAUAUGGGAGGCGCACCAGCCCCUUGUGGCUGGUGCAUUUCCCCUCUUGGCCCAUAAGGCCCAUAUCUUUUGUCGGGGGUGCCCGAAACCCCUUCCGGUGACCCGAUAAGUACCCGGUAACCCCCGAAAUACUUUCGGUGUCCGAAUACCAUCGUCUUAUAUAUCAAUCUUUACCUCUCGACCAUUUCGAGACUCCUCGUCAUGUUCGUGAUCUCAUUCGGGACUUCAAACAACAUUCGGUCACCAAAUCACAUAACUCAUAUAAUACUAUAUCGUCAUCUAACGUUAAGCGUGCGGACCCUACGGGUUCAAGAACUAUGUAGACAUGACAGAGACACUUCUCCGGUCAAUAAACAAUAGCGGAACCUGGAUGCUCAUAUUGGCUCCUACAUAUUCUACGAAGAUCUUUAUCGGUCGAACCGUUAUGACAACAUACUUUGUCCAUCGGUAUGUUACUUGCCCGAGAUUCGAUUGUCGGCAUCUUCAUACCUAGUUCAAUCUUGUUACCGGCAAGUCUCUUUAUUCGUUCUGUAAUGCAUCACCUCGUGACUAACUCCUUAGUCGUUUUCUUGCAAGCUUAUGAUGUGUAUUACCGAUCGAGAGGGUCCAGAGAUACAUCUCCUAUACUCGGAGCGACAAAUCCUAAUCUUGAUCUAUGCCAACUCAACAAACACCUUCGGAGAUACUUGUAGAUCAUCUUAUAAUCACCCGGUUACAUUGUGACGUUUGAUAGCACAUAAUGCAUUCCUCCGGUAUCCGGGAGUUGCAUAAUCUCAUAUAUAGUCGAAGGAAUAUGUAUUUGACAUGAAGAAAGCAAUACCAAUAAAAUUGAAUGAUCAUUAUGCUAAGUUAACGGAUGGGUCUUGUCCAUCACAUCAUUCUCCUAAUGAUGUCAUCCCGUUAUCGAAUGACAACUCAUGUCCAUGGUUAGGAAACCUUAACCAUCUUUGAUCAACGAGCUAGUCAAGUAGAGGCUCACUAGGAACACAAUAUUUGUUUAUGUAUUCGCACAUGUAUUAAGGUUUCCGAUCAAUACAAUUCUAGCAUGAAUAAUAAACCUUUAUCAUGAAUAAGGAAAUAUAAAAUAACAACUUUAUUAUUGCCUCUAGGGCAUAUUUCCUUCACCCCCACUCACUUUCUAUUUUUUUCAGUGGAUGCCUCGUAGAUGAGUGGGGCGGUCUCUUUGGGCUUCUGGUCGUGCACCCAUGGCGCCUCCCAAAAGGGUGUCCUAGCACCACUGCGUACGGUGAUGAUGGUGGAGGCAUAUAAGAGAUCAAGGCCUUCCUCAUCACAGCCUUAGGGGGCGUGCGAAUUUUUUGGUGUUCGGCACUCCUAGUUCCCUUCUUUCAAAAGGCCAGUAUAGCAAGCCCCAAUUCACUUUGCAUUUCGCCCUAGUGGUUUUGUUCGAACCGGACCAAAGGAAGGCACGCUCGAUCUUGUUAUUAUUGUGGAGGGUACUCAGAUGGAUGAUGAGGGUGGGUGAUGUAGUAAGGUGACACACCCAAUGGUGGUGAUGUUGCCCCCAUCCCGAGGAAUGAGCUUGGAUGCCACUUUGUCUUCAAGGUACUGAAAGCCAAACCGAGAGGGGAAGCCCUAAGUGUCUCAUCGGGAAGAAGGUUCUGUUGGGGAACGUAGUAAUUUCAAAAAAAAUUCCUACGCACACGCAAGAUCAUGGUGAUGCAUAGCAACGAGGGAAGAGUGUGAUCUACGUACCCUUUGUAGACCGACAACGGAAGCGUUUGGUUGAUGUAAUCGUACGUCUUCACGGCCCGACCGAUCAAGCACCAAAACUACGGCACCUCCGAGUUUUAGCACACGUUCAGCUCGAUGACGAUCCCCGGACUCCGAUCCAGCAAAGUGUCGGGGAAGAGUUCCGUCAGCACGACGGCGUGGUGACGAUCUUGAUGUACUACUGCUGCAGGGAUUCGCCUAAGCACCGCUACAAUAUUAUCAAGGACUAUGGUGGCUGGGGGCGCCGCACACGGCUAAGAAUAAGAUCACGUGGAUCAACUUCUGUGUCUCUGGGGUGCCCCUACCUCUGUAUAUAAAGACUAAAGGGGGGGUGCGGCUGGCCUAGGAGAGGCGCGCCAGGAGAGUCCUACUCCCUCUGGGAGUAGGAUUCCCCCCCCCCCCCAAUCCUAGUUGGAAUAGGAUUCGCGGAGGGGGGAAUAGAGAGAAAGGGGCCGGCCCCCUCUCCUUGUCCUAUUCGGACCAAGGGAGGGGAGGGGCGCGCGGCCCAUGUAGGGCUGCCUCUUCUCUUUUCCACUAAGGCCCAUCAUGGCCCAUAUAGCUCCCGGGGGGUUCCGGUAACCUCCCGGUACUCCGGUAAAAUCCCGAUUUCACCCGGAACACUUCCGAUAUCCAAACAUAGGCUUCCAAUAUAUCAAUCUUUAUGUCUCGACCAUUUCGAGACUCCUCGUCAUGUCCGUGAUCACAUCCGGGACUCCGAACAAACUUUGGUACAUCAAAAUGCAUAAACUCAUAAUAUAACUGUCAUCGUAACCUUAAGCGUGCGGACCCUACGGGUUCGAGAACAAUGUAGACAUGACCGAGACAUGUCUCCGGUCAAUAACCAAUAGCGGAACCUGGAUGCUCAUAUUGGCUCCUACAUAUUCUACGAAGAUCUUUAUCGGUCAGACCGCAUAACAACAUACGUUGUUUCCUUUGUCAUCGGUAUGUUACUUGCCCGAGAUUCGAUCGUCGGUAUUCCAAAUACCUAGUUCAAUCUCGUUACCGGCAAGUCUCUUUACUCGUUCUGUAAUACAUCAUCCCACAACUAACUCAUUAGUUGCAAUGCUUGCAAGGCUUAAGUGAUGUGCAUUACCGAGAGGGCCCAGAGAUACCUCUCCGACAAUCGGAGUGACAAAUCCUAAUCUCGAAAUACGCCAACCCAACAUGUACCUUUGGAGACACCUGUAGAGCUCCUUUAUAAUCACCCAGUUACGUUGUGACGUUUGGUAGCACACAAAGUGUUCCUCUGGUAAACGGGAGUUGCAUAAUCUCAUAGUCAUAGGAACAUGUAUAAGUCAUGAAGAAAGCAAUAGCAACAUACUAAAUGAUCGGGUGCUAAGCUAGUGGAAUGGGUCAUGUCAAUCAGAUCAUUCACUUAACGAUGUGAUCCCGUUAAUCAAAUAACAACUACUUGUUCAUGGUUAGGAAACAUAACCAUCUUUGAUUAACGAGCUAGUCAAGUAGAGGCAUACUAGUGACACUUUGUUUGUCAUUCACACAUGUAUUAUGUUUCCGGUUUAAUACAAUUCUAGCAUGAAUAAAUAAACAUUUAUCAUGAUAUAAGGAAAUAAAUAAUAACUUUAUUAUUGCCUCUAGGGCAUAUUUCCUUCAGUCUCCCAUGAAAUAAAUAAUAAUCUAAAUUACACAGUAAUUAUUCUAACACCCAUGGAACCUUGGUGCUGAUCAUGUUUUGCUCAUGGAAGAGGCUUAGUCAACGGGUCUGCAACAUUCAGAUCCGUAUGUAUCUUGCAAAUCUCUAUGUCUCCCACCUGGACUAGAUCCCAGAUGGAAUUGAAGCGUCUCUUGAUGUGCUUGGUUCUCUUGUGAAAUCUGGAUUCCUUUACCAAGGCAAUUGCACCAGUAUUGUCACAAAAGAUUUUCAUUGGACCCGAUGCACUAGGUAUGACACCUAGAUCGGAUAUGAACUCCUUCAUCCAGACUCCUUCAUUUGCCGCUUCCGAAGCAGCUAUGUACUCCGCUUCACAUGUAGAUCCCGCUACAACGCUUUGUUUAGAACUGCACCAACUGACAGCUCCACCGUUUAAUGUAAACACGUAUCCGGUUUGCGAUUUAGAAUCGUCCGGAUCAGUGUCAAAGCUUGCAUCAACAUAACCUUUUACGAUGAGCUCUUUGUCACCUCCAUAUAUGAGAAACAUAUCCUUAGUCCUUUUCAUGUAUUUCAGAAUGUUCUUGACCGCUGUCCAGUGAUCCACUCCUGGAUUACUUUGGUACCUCCCUGCUAGACUUAUAGUAAGGCACACAUCAGGUCUGGUACACAGCAUUGCAUACAUGAUAGAUCCUAUGGCUGAUGCAUAGGGAACAUCUUUCAUAUUCUCUCUAUCUUCUGCAGUGGUCGGGCAUAGAGUCUUACUCAACUUCACACCUUGUAACACAGGCAAGAACCCUUUCUUUGCUUGAUCCAUUUUGAACUUCUUCAAAACUUUGUCAAGGUAUGUGGUUUGUGAAAGUCUAAUUAAGCGUCUUGAUCUAUCUCUAUAGAUCUUAAUGCCUAAUAUGUAAGCAGCUUCACCGAGGUCUUUCAUUGAAAAACUCUUAUUCAAGUAUCCCUUUAUGCUAUCCAGAAAUUCUUCAUCAUUUCCAAUUAGUAAUAUGUCAUCCACAUAUAAUAUCAGAAAUGCUACAGAGCUCCCACUCACUUUCUUGUAAAUACAGGCUUCUCCAAAAGUCUGUAUAAAACCAAAUGCUUUGAUCACACUAUCAAAACGUUUAUUCCAACUCCGAGAGGCUUGCACCAGUCCAUAAAUGGAUCGCUGGAGCUUGCACACUUUGUUAGCUCCCUUUGGAUCGACAAAACCUUCUGGUUGCAUCAUAUACAACUCUUCUUCCAGAAAUCCAUUCAGGAAUGCAGUUUUGACAUCCAUCUGCCAAAUUUCAUAAUCAUAAAAUGCGGCAAUUGCUAACAUGAUUCAGACAGACUUAAGCAUCGCUACGGGUGAGAAGGUCUCAUCGUAGUCAAUCCCUUGAACUUGCCGAAAACCUUUUGCGACAAGUCGAGCUUUGUAGACAGUAAUAUUACCGUCAGCGUCAGUCUUCUUCUUGAAGAUCCAUUUAUUCUCAAUUGCUUGCCGAUCAUCGGGCAAGUCAACCAAAGUCCAUACUUUGUUCUCAUACAUGGAUCCCAUCUCAGAUUUCAUGGCUUCAAGCCACUUUGCGGAAUCUGGGCUCACCAUCGCUUCUUCAUAGUUCGUAGGUUCAUCAUGAUCUAGUAGCAUGACUUCCAGAACGGGAUUACCGUACCACUCUGGUGCGGAUUUUACUCUAGUUGAUCUACGAGGUUCAGUAGUAUCUUGUUCUGAAGUUUCAUGAUCAUCAUCAUUAGCUUCCUCACUAACUGGUGUAGGUGUCACAGAAACAGUUUUCUGUGAUGUACUACUUUCCAAUAAGGGAGCAGGUACAGUUACCUCGUCAAGUUCUACUUUCCUCCCACUCACUUCUUUCGAGAGAAAUUCCUUCUCCAGAAAGUUUCCGAAUUUAGCAAAAAAAGUCUUGCCUUCGGAUCUGUGAUAGAAGGUGUAUCCAAUAGUCUCCUUUGGAUAUCCUAUGAAGACACAUUUCUCCGAUUUGAGUUCAAGCUUAUCAGGUUGAAACUUUUUCACAUAAGCAUCGCAGCCCCAAACUUUCAGAAACGAUAACUUUGGUUUCUUGCCAAACCAUAGUUCAUAAGGCGUCGUCUCAACGGAUUUUGAUGGUGCCCUAUUUAACGUGAAUGCGCCCGUCUCUAGAGCGUAUCUCCAAAACGAUAGCGGUAAAUCAGUAAGAGACAUCAUAGAUCGCAUCAUAUCUAGUAAAGUACGAUUACGACGUUCGGACACACCAUUACGCUAUGGUGUUCCGGGUGGCGUGAGUUGCGAAACUAUUCCACAAUUUUUCAAAUGUACACCAAACUCGUAACUCAAAUAUUCUCCUCAACGAUCAGAUCGUAGAAACUUUAUUUUCUUGUUACGAUGAUUUUCAACUUCACUCUGAAAUUCUUUGAACGUUUCAGACUUAUGUUUCAUUAAGUAGAUAUACCCAUAUCUGCUUAAAUCAUCUGUGAAGGUGAGAAAAUAACGAUAUCCGCCACGAGCCUCAAUAUUCAUCGGACCACAUACAUCUGUAUGUAUGAUUUCCAACAAAUCUGUUGCUCUCUCCAUAGUACUGGAGAACGGCGUUUUAGUCAUCUUGCCCAUGAGGCACGGUUCGCAAGUACCAAGUGAUUCAUAAUCAAGUGGUUCCAAAAGUCCAUCGGUAUGGAGUUUCUUCACGCGCUUUACACCGAUAUGACCUAAACGGCAGUGACACAAAUAAGUUGCACUAUCAUUAUCAACUCUGCAUCUUUUGGCUUCAACAUUAUGAAUAUGUGUGUUACUACUAUCGAGAUUAAACAAGAAUAGACCAUUCUUCAAGGGUGCAUGACCAUAAAAGAUAUUACUCAUAUAAAUAGAACAACCAUUAUUCUCUGAUUUAAAUGAAUAACCGUCUCGCAUCAAACAAGAUCCAGAUAUAAUGUUCAUGCUUAACGCUGGCACCAAAUAACAAUUAUUUAGGUCUAAUAUUAAUCCCGAAGGUAGAUGUAGAGGUAGCAUGCCGACUGCGAUCACAUCGACUUUGGAACCUUUUCCCACGCGCAUCGUCACCUCGUCCUUAGCCAAUCUUCGCUUAAUCCGUAGUCCCUGUUCCGAGUUGCAAAUAUUAGCAACAGAACUAGUAUCAAAUACCCAGGUGCUACUGUGAGUAUUAGUAAGGUACACAUCAAUAACAUGUAUAUCACAUAUACCUUUGUUCACCUUGCCAUCCUUCUUAUCCGCCAAAUACUUGGGGCAGUUCCGCUUCUAGUGACCAGUCUGCUUGCAAUAGAAGCACUCAGUUUCAGGCUUAGGUCCAGGUUUGGGUUUCUUCUCUUGAGUAGCAAAUUUCUUGCCGUUCUUUUUGAAGUUCCCCUUCUUCUUCCCUUUGCCCUUUUUCUUGAAACUAGUGGUCUUGUUAACCAUCAACACUUGAUGCUCCUUCUUGAUUUCUACCUCCGCAGCUUUCAGCAUCAAGAAGAGCUCGGGAAUAGUCGUAUUCAUCCCUUGCAUAUUAUAGUUCAUCACGAAGCUCUUGUAGCUUGGUGGCAGUGAUUGGAGAAUUCUAUCAAUGACGCAAUCAUCUGGAAGAUUAACUCCCAAUUGAAUCAAGUGAUUAUUAUACCCAGACUUUUUGAGUAUAUGCUCACUGACAGAACUGUUCUCCUCCAUCUUGCAGCUAUAGAACUUAUUGGAGACUUCGUAUCUCUCAAUCCGGGCAUUUGCUUGAAAUAUUAACUUCAACUCCUGGAACAUCUCAUAUGCUCCAUGACGUUCAAAAUGUCGCUGAAGUCCCGAUUCUAAGCCGUAAAGCAUGGCACACUGAACUAUUGAGUAGUCAUCAGCUUUGCUCUGCCAGACGUUCAUAACAUCCGGCGUUGCUCCUGCAGCAGGCCUGGCACCCAGCGGUGCUUCCAGGACGUAAUUCUUCUGUGCAGCAAUGAGGAUAAUCCUCAAGUUACGGACCCAGUCCGUGUAAUUGCUACCAUCACCUUUCAACUUUGCUUUCUCAAGGAACGCAUUAAAAUUCAACGGAACAACAGCACGAGCCAUCUAUCUACAAUCAAACAUAAACAUGCAAGAUACUUAUCAGGUACUAAGUUUCAUGAUAAAUUUAAGUUCAGUUAAUUUACCUAAAGAACUCCCACUUAGAUAGACAUCCCUCUAAUCCUCUAAGUGAUUACGUGAUCCAAAUCAACUAAACCAUGUCCGAUCAUCACGUGAGAUGGAGUAGUUUCAUUUGUGAACAUCUUUAUGUUGAUCAUAUCUACUAUAUGAUUCACGCUCGACCUUUCGGUCUCUGUGUUCCAAGGCCAUAUCUGUAUAUGCUUGGCUCGUCAAGUUUAACCUGAGUAUUCCGCAUGUGCAACUGUUUUGCACCCGUUGUAUUUGAACGUAGAGCCUAUCACACCCGAUCAUCACGUGGUGUCUCAGCACGAAGAACUUUCGCAACGGUGCAUACUCAGGGAGAAUACUACUUGAUAAUUUAGUGAGAGAUCAUCUUAUAAUGCUACCGUCAAUCAAAGCAAGAUAAGAUGCAUAAAAGAUAAACAUCACAUGCAAUCAAUAUAAGUGAUAUGAUAUGGCCAUCAUCAUCUUGUGCUUGUGAUCUCCAUCUCCGAAGCACCGUCGUGAUCACCAUCGUCACCGGCACGACACCUUGAUCUCCAUCGUAGCAUCGUUGUCGUCUCGCCGAGCUUGUGCUUCCACGACUAUCGCUACCGUUUAGGUUUAAAGUAAAGCAUUACAGCGCGAUUGCAUUGCAUACAAUAAAACGACAACCAUAUGGCUCCUGCCAGUUGCCGAUAACUCGGUUACAAAACAUGAUCAUCUCAUACAAUAAAAUUUAGCAUCAUGUGUUGACCAUAUCACAUCACAACAUGCCCUACAAAAACAAGUUAGACGUCCUCUACUUUGUUGUUGCAAGUUUUACGUGGCUGCUACGGGCUUAAGAAAGAACCAAUCUUACCUACGCAUCAAAACCACAACGAUAGUUUGUCAAGUUGGUGUUGUUUUAACCUUCGCAAGGACCGGGCGUAGCCACACUCGAUUCAACUAAAGUUGGAGAAACUGUCACCCGCAAGCCACCUAUGUGCAAAGCACGCCGGGAGAACCGGUCUCGCGUAAGCGUACGCGUAAUGUCGAUCUGGGCCGCUUCGUCCAACAAUACCGCCGAACCAAAGUAUGACAUACUGGUAAGCAGUAUGACUUAUAUCACCCACAACUCACUUGUGUUCUACUCGUGCAUAUAACAUCAACAUAUAAAACCUGGCUCUGAUGCCACUGUUGGGGAACGUAGUAAUUUCAAAAAAAUUCCUACGCACACACAAGAUCAUGGUGAUGCAUAGCAACGAGGGGAGAGUGUGAUCUACGUACCCUUUGUAGACCGACAACGGAAGCGUUUGGUUGAUGUAGUCGUACGUCUUCACGGCCCGACCGAUCAAGCACCGAAACUACGACACCUUCGAGUUUUAGCACACGUUCAGCUCGAUGACGAUCCCUGGACUCCGAUCCAGCAAAGUGUCGGGGAAGAGUUCCGUCAGCACGACGGCGUGGUGACGAUCUUGAUGUACUACUGCUGCAGGGCUUCGCCUAAGCACCGCUACAAUAUUAUCGAGGACUAUGGUGGCUGGGGGCGCCGCACACGGCUAAGAAUAAGAUCACGUGGAUCAACUUCUGUGUCUCUGGGGUGCCCCUGCCUCUGUAUAUAAAGGACUAAAGGGGGGGUGCGGCCGGCCUAGGAGAGGCGCGCCAGGAGAGUCCUACUCCCUCUGGGAGUAGGAUUCCCCCCCCCCCCAAUCCUAGUUGGAAUAGGAUUCGCGGAGGGGGGAAUAGAGAGAGAGGGGCCGGCCCCCUCUCCUUGUCCUAUUCGGACCAAGGGAGGGGAGGGGCGUGCGGCCCAUGUAGGGCUGCCUCUUCUCUUUUCCACUAAGGCCCAUCAUGGCCCAUAUAGCUCCCGGGGGGUUCCGGUAACCUCCCGGUACUCCGGUAAAAUCCCGAUUUCACCCGGAACACUUCCGAUAUCCAAACAUAGGCUUCCAAUAUAUCAAUCUUUAUGUCUCGACCAUUUCGAGACUCCUCGUCAUGUCCGUGAUCACAUCCAGGACUCCGAACAAACUUCGGUACAUCAAAAUGCAUAAACUCAUAAUAUAACUGUCAUCGUAACCUUAAGCGUGCGGACCCUACGGGUUCGAGAACAAUGUAGACAUGACCGAGACAUGUCUCCGGUCAAUAACCAAUAGCGGAACCUGGAUGCUCAUAUUGGCUCCUACAUAUUCUACGAAGAUCUUUAUCGGUCAGACCGCAUAACAACAUACGUUGUUCCCUUUGUCAUCGGUAUGUUACUUGCCCGAGAUUCGAUCGUCGGUAUUCCAAAUACCUAGUUCAAUCUCGUUACCGGCAAGUCUCUUUACUCGUUCUAUAAUACAUCAUCCCGCAACUAACUCAUUAGUUGCAAUGCUUGCAAGGCUUAAGUGAUGUGCAUUACCGAGAGGGCCCAGAGAUACCUCUCCGACAAUCGGAGUGACAAAUCCUAAUCUCGGAAUACGCCAACCUAACAUGUACCUUUGGAGACACCUGUAGAGCUCCUUUAUAAUCACCCAGUUACGUUGUGACGUUUGGUAGCACACAAAGUGUUCCUCUGGUAAACGGGAGUUGCAUAAUCUCAUAGUCAUAGGAACAUGUAUAAGUCAUGAAGAAAGCAAUAACAACAUACUAAACGAUCGGGUGCUAAGCUAGUGGAAUGGGUCAUGUCAAUCAGAUCAUUCACUUAAUGAUGUGAUCCCGUUAAUCAAAUAACAACUACUUGUUCAUGGUUAGGAAACAUAACCAUCUUUGAUUAACGAGCUAGUCAAGUAGAGGCAUACUAGUGACACUUUGUUUGUCAUUCACACAUGUAUUAUGUUUCCGGUUUAAUACAAUUCUAGCAUGAAUAAUAAACAUUUAUCAUGAUAUAAGGAAAUAAAUAAUAACUUUAUUAUUGCCUCUAGGGCAUAUUUCCUUCAGGUUCUUGCGGCAGGAAGAUUUUGAAGGAUUCACCCAAGGUUGAAGUAGCCACAUCAAAUUGGGACGACCGAGCUCUUUUGAAAGUUGGUAGCGAGGCUCGUGGUAUCGCCAAAACAUUAUAGGAUACCGGAGAGGUUGUUAAUAUCACACUUGAUGGGUGCCAUGAAAACCGCCACACCGUCCACGUAUAGGUAGGUUUGAAUCAAGGUACCACGACGUCGAAUCUUGCGGAGAAGGCCCCCUUCUAGUUUCCAAGUCAAGAAGAUGUUGAAGGGGAUCUAUUGCAAUGACGAAUAGAAGGGGAGAGAGAAGGGGGGGGGCACUUUACUAAGGCGCCUACCAUGCUUGAUUAGAGGGCCGGCCACGCCUUUUAGUAAAGACAAUAUAGAUUUACUAAUAAAGACAUCCACCACAUUAUAGAUUUGGGUAUGAUUUAAUUUUAUUUGAGUAUGGAUAAGAGAAGGCAUAAAAGUUCCGAUUUAGUUGAGUUUUUGGUAAGAUUUGAUUUGAUUUGGGUAUGGGCAGUGAAAGGCAAGAAUUUUUUUGAUUUAAUUGAGAUUUUGGUAAGAUUUGAUUUCAUUGAGUUAAUGCAUGGUGUGGUUUUGUGGAAGUACCAAAUUGAUUUAGAUUGUUCCAAGUUACUCUAUUUGUAUUAUUAUUUUUUGCACCAUCAGGUGAGAUUACUAGAAAAACAACAAAUAAAUCAAAGAAUGAAGGGCGUGGGAAGGAGACGUGAUACACCAACUCUCCUUUAACAGUAGAGAUUUGUCGUCCACAACUAUAUAUAGACAAUAAAGUUUAUGCGACAGUGAAAAGCAACUCCCCAACGAUCUAAGUGAAAAAGCACAUACAAAGUGGGGACAAUCUACCAACAAUUUGGAAACAAAAAGUGAAAUACAGUAACUCUUUUCAAAUCGAUCAAUCAAUCAGUCACUCCUAAAUUCACUAGCAGUUCUUGUCGGCUGUGACGGGCUUGCACUUGACCUCCUGGAACACGACGGCCGGCGUGCCCGGCGGCGCGAGCGGCAGCACCAGCGGGCAUUUGGCCUCGAACUUGCACUUGGUGUAGUGCGCCUGGUACCUGACCUCGCCCGACACCGCCACCUCCACCUUGAACAUCCCCGUCGCGUUCUCCGCCUUGAACUCGGCCACGCCGGCGUUGCCGAACGCGACGUAGCCGCCGUCGUCGCCGGAGACGAGGUGGUACACCUGGGUGUCGCCAGGGGGUUGCGUGAACCCCUCCUCGGCGAGCCUGAUCCGCUCGAAGGGCUGGCCGUCGAAGCUGUAGCGGGCCUCGAGCGGCUUGGUGUUCCUGACGCUCAUGGCCCAGUUCUUGUUACGGACGGUGAGCGUGAGCGAGAGGUUGUAGGCGAACGCGGUGGUCGGGGAGACGGCGAGCGCGAGGCGCGUGAGGGAGGCGUCCCUGACGGUGACCUCGGCGUGGCGGAUGAAGCCGUAGGCGGCGACGAGCACGGCCAGGAGGACGGCCCCGGCGAGGACGGCGAGGCAGGCGGCGCCGCAGAGGAUGGCCUCGCGCGCGUCGUAGGAGACGCAGGGGCAGCAGCGGUCGCAGAAUGCGUCGUAGCAGCCGCACUCGCUGCAGCACAUGGCGCCUCAGCCUGGUUUCUUGAGCUAGCUGGAUCUUGUUGGACCGGGACCGGGAGUGGCAGCAGGAGGAAGAAGCUAGCUACGUGACGUGAGGUAGCGGCAGCCGGCAGGUGGGUGGCGGCUCUGGACGAGGGCAGGGAAGGGAACCAGAUCCCUGACGGACAGCAGCGGCAAAGCAGCCAGGUGCCCGGGCUGGGCAUAGCAACGACUGGACGAUGCAUUUUGGACCCAAAUUUAGGCCUUAAAUGCAUCAGCGCAAACACGAAACGGACGCGUCGCGUAUCCCUUCAGUGUCCGCCUGACAGUGUGUGGAUGGGUCAUAUGCCCGUCCCUUUUAAUGAAAGCGCGCAGCAGCGCCGGCCUCAUCCAUUUCCAUCUCCCUGUCCACAUCUAACCACACUUGCUCUCUCGUCGGCGACCAGAAAACCCUAGCCAGACAGCCAGUAGCCAUGGACUUCUUCAGCGGGAAGUGGAAGGGAAGGUUCAGCGUCGACUCGAGCUCUUCCUGCAUGCUUCCUUCUUCACCGGCUAGACGCGGUUUGCGACCGCGGGAGCGGGAGCGGCUGUACAUACCUGUCCACUGGGCGCGGUGGCACUAGCAGUACCACCGGUCCCUGCAGUAUCCAAAUGUCAAGUUGCCGCACUUUUGGCAUCUGGACCUGCACCGGAUCCCCAUUCCGUUGGUGUCGUGCUCGGCGCGAGCGCACGCUGAGGAGGUUCGCCGGCGUCGCAGGCUUCUUACACUGGAGCAGCGCCCGAUGUGUGCCUACGCGCCAGACUCCCCCAACUGGGAGUGUUGGUUUGCGCUGGAGCACGAGGAGGAGCGUCGCCGCGGCGUCCACGUUGAUCACGACGUUUCCCCGCCGCCGCCAGUGGUUUUGCCAGAGGAGGAGGAGGCGGAGGUGGCGAACCAAGCCGCGCUCGAGGAGGCCCUGCAGCGCGAGCUGGAGGCGAGGCGACUCGAAGAUGACGCCCAUUGGGAUGGGCUGGACCACGCCCUCGCCUUGUCGGCGACAGGGGACUCUGUCCACGCUCCAUUGUUUGUCUCGCCACCGCCGCCCUUCGUCGAGCCCAAGGCCGAGCCCGAGCCCGAGCCUGUUGGAAAUAUGCCCUAGAGGCAAUAAUAAAAUGGUUAUUAUUGUAUUUCCUUGUUCAUGAUAAUUGUCUAUUGUUCAUGCUAUAAUUGUAUUAACCGGAAACCGUAAUACAUGUGUGAAUACAUAGACCACAACAUGUCCCUAGUAAGCCUCUAGUUGACUAGCUCGUUGAUCAAUAGAUGGUCAUGGUUUCCUGACCAUGGACAUUGGAUGUCAUUGAUAACGGGAUCACAUCAUUAAGAGAAUGAUGUGAUGGACAAGACCCAAUCCUAAGCACAUCACAAGAUCGUGUAGUUCGUAUGCUAAAGCUUUUGUAGUGCCAAGUAUCAUUUCCUUAGACCAUGAGAUUGUGCAACUCCCGGAUACCGUAGGAAUGCUUUGGGUGUGCCAAACGUCACAACGUAGCUGGGUGGCUAUAAAGGUGCACUACGGGUAUCUCCUUAAGUGUCUGUUGGGUUGGCACGAAUCGAGACUGGGAUUUGUCACUCUGUGUAAACGGAGAGGUAUCUCUGGGCCCACUCGGUAGGACAUCAUCAUAAUGUGCACAAUGUGACCAAGGAGUUGAUCACGGGAUGAUGUGUUACGGAACGAGAAAAGAGACUUGCCGGUAACGAGAUUGAACAAGGUAUCGGGAUACCGAUGAUCGAAUCUCGGGCAAGUACUAUACCGGUAGACAAAGGGAAUUGUAUACGGGAUUGAUUGAAUCCUCGACAUCAUGGUUCAUCCGAUGAGAUCAUCGUGGAACAUGUGGGAGCCAACAUGGGUAUCCAGAUCCCGCUGUUGGUUAUUGAUCGGAGAGUCGUCUCGGUCAUGUCUGCGUGUCUCCCGAACCCGUAGGGUCUACACACUUAAGGUUCGGUGAGGCUAGGGUUGUAGAGAUAUAAGUAUGCGGUAACCCGAAAGUUGUUCGGAGUCCCGGAUGAGAUCUCGGACGCCACUAGGAGUUCCGGAAUGGUCCGGAGGUGAAGAUUUAUAUAUAGGAAGUCCAGUUUUGGCCAUCGGGAAAGUUUCAGGGGUAAUCGAUAUUGUACUGGGACCACCGGAAGGGUCCCGGGGGUCCACCGGGUGGGACCACCUAUCCCGUAGGGCCCCAUGGUCUAAAGAGGGAUAGGAACCAGCCCCUGGUGGGCUGGUGCGCCUCCCAUGGGCCUCCCCCUGCGCCUAGGGUUGGAAACCCUAGGGGUGGGGGCGCCCCACCUGACUUGGGGGGCAAGUCCCCCUUGGGCGCCGCCCUCCUUGGAGAUUGGAUCUCCUAGGUCCAGCGCCCCCCCUAGGGGCCCUAUAUAUAGUGGAGGGGAGGGAGGGCAACCGCACCCAAGUCCCUGGCGCCUCCCUCCCUCCCGUGACACCUCUUCCUCCCCGCUUGUGCUUGGCGAAGCCCUGCCGGGAUCCCGCUACUUCUACCACCACGUCGUCGUGCUGCUGGAUCUCCAUCAACCUCUCCUCUUCCCUUGCUGGAUCAAGAAGGAGGAGACGUCUCUCCCCACCAUACGUGUGUUGAACGCGGAGGUGUCGUCCGUUCGGCGCUUGGUCAUCGGUGAUUUGGAUCACGACGAGUACGACUCCAUCAACCCCGUUCUCUUGAACGCUUCCGUUUAGCGAUCUACAAGGGUAUGUAGAUGCACUCCUCUCUCUCGUUGCUAGUCUCUCCAUAGAUUGAUCUUGGUGAUACGUAGGAAAUUUUUUGAAUUUCUGCUACGAUCCCUAACAGUGGCAUCAUGAGCUAGGUCUAUGUGUAGAUUCUAUGCACGAGUAGAACACAAGUUGUUGUGGGCGUUGAUUUUGUCAAUUUACUUGCCGUUACUAGUCUUAUCUUGAUUCGGCGGCAUCGUGGGAUGAAGCGGCCCGGACCGACCUUACACGUAUGCUUACGUGAGACUGGUUCCACCGACUGAAAUGCACUAGUUGUAUAAGGUGGCUAGCGGGUGUCUGUCUCUCCCACUUCAGUCGGAUCGGAUUCGAUGAAAAGGGUCCUUAUGAAGGGUAAAUAGAAAUUGGCAUAUCAUGUUGUGGUUUUGGCGUAGGUAAGAAACAUUCUUGCUAGAAACCUAUAGCAGCCACGUAAAAACUUGCAACAACAAUUAGAGGACGUCUAACUUGUUUUUGCAGCAUAUGCUGUGUGAUGUGAUAUGGCCAAAAGGAUGUGAUGAAUGAUAUAUUGAGAAACAGUGACAACCGGCAUGAGCCAUAGGAGUUGUCUUAAUUUAUUUAUGACCUGCGUGUCAACUUAUACGUCAUGUAAUUACUUUACUUUAUCGCUAACCGUUAGCCAUAGUAGUAGAACUAAUAGUUGACGAGACAACUUCAUGAAGACACGAUGAUGGAGAUCAUGGUGUCAUGCCGGUGACGACGAUGAUCAUGGCGCCCCGAAGAUGGAGAUCAAAAGGAGCAAAAUGAUAUUGGCCAUAUCAUGUCACUAUUUGAUUGCAUGUGAUGUUUAUCAUGUUUUACAUCUUAUUUGCUUAGAACGACGGUAGCAUAAAUAAGAUGAUCCCUCACCAUAAUUUCAAGAAAGUGUCCCCCUAACUGUGCACCGUUGCUAAGGUCCGUUGUUUCAAAGCACCAUGUGAUGAUCGGGUGUGAUAGGUUCUAACAUUCGCAUACAAUGGGUGUAAGCCAGAUUUACACACGCAAUACACUUAGAUUGACUUGACGAGCCUAGCAUGUACAGACAUUGCCUCGGAACACGGAAGACCGAAAGGUCGAACAUGAGUCGUAUAAAAGAUACGAUCAACAUGAAGAUGUUCACCGAUGAUGACUAGUCCGUCUCACGUGAUGAUCGGACACGGCCUAGUUGACUCGGAUCAUGUAUCGCUUAGAUGACUAGAGGGAUGUCUAUCUAAGUGGGAGUUCAUUAGAUAAUUUGAUUAGAUGAACUUAAUUAUCAUGAACAUAGCCAAAAGGUCUUUGUAAAUUAUGUCGUAGCUCAUGCUUUGGUUCUACUGUUUUAGAUAUGUUCCUAGAGAAAAUUUAGUUGAGAGUUGACAGUAGCAAUUAUGCGGACUGGGUCCGUAAACUGAGGAUUGUCCUCAUUGCUGCACAGAAGGAUUAUGUCCUUAAUGCACCGCUCAGUGUGCUGAACCUCGAGCGUUGUCUGUAGAUGUUGGGAAAACAUCUGACAUACACGUUUUGAUGACUACAUGAUAGUUCAAUGCGUAAUGCUAACGGUUUAGAAUUGUGGCGCCAAAGACGUUUUUGAAACGUCGCAGAACAUAUGAGAUGUUCCAAAGACUGAAAUUGGGAUUUCAGACUAGUGCCCACGUCAAGAGGUAUGAGACCUCUGACAAGUUUCUUAAGCCUGCAAACUAAGGGAGAAAGCUCAAUCGUUGAGCAUGUGCUCAGAUUGUCUGAGUACUACAAUUGCUUGAAUCGAGUGGGAGUUAAUCUUCCAGAUGAGAUAGUGAUUGUUCUCCAUAGUCAUUGCCACCAAGCUAUUGGAGCUUCAUGAUGAACUAUAACAUAUCAGGGAUAGACAUGAUGAUCCUUGAGCAAUUCGCGAUGUUUGACACCGCGAAAGUAGAAAUCAAGUAGGAGCAUCAAUUGUUGAUGGUUAAACCACUAGUUUCAAGAAGGGCAAGGGAAAGAAGGGAUACUUCAUGAGACGGCAAAUCAGUUGCUGCUCUAGUGAAGAAACACAAGGUUGAACCAAACCCGAGACUAAGUGCUUCUGUAAUGAGGGGAACGGUCACUGAAGCAGAACUACCCUAGAUACUUGGUAGAUGAGAAGGCUGGCAAAGUCGACAUAAGUAUUUUGGAUAUACGUUAUAUUAAUGUGUACUUUACUAGUACUCCUAGUGGCACCAGGGUAUUAAAAUACCGGUUCAGUUGCUAAGUGUUAGUAACUCAAAAUAAAAGGCUACAAAAUAAAUGGAGACUAGCUGAAGGUGAGAUGACGAUAUGUGUUGGAAGUGUUUUCAAGGUUGAUAUGAUCAAGCAUCGCAUGCUCCCUCUACCAUCGAGAUUGGUGUUAAACCUAAAUGAUUGUUAUUUGGUGUUUGCGUUGAGCAUAGACAUGAUUGGAUUGUGUUUAUCGCAAUACGGUUAUUCAUUUAAGGAGAAUAAUGGUUACUCUGUUUAUUUGAAUAAUACCUUCAAUGGUCUUGCACCUAAAAUGAAUGGUUCAUUGAAUCUCGAUCGUAGUGAUACACAUGUUCAUGCCAAAAGAUAUAAGAUAGUAAUGAUAGUACCACAUACUUGUGGCACUGCCAUUUGAGUUAUAUUGGUAUAUGUAACGCCCGGAUAAUCAUGCUACAGUAAUCCCACGCUAACCAUGCCACGUCACCUCGGUUACUGUUGCUAACCUCGCAAUGAUUCGAAACCGUUUCAAAUUUAAAUUCUAAAUAAGUCAAACAAAAAAAGUUUUCAAAAUAUUAAACUAAAAUGUUCGGAGUGUGUAGUUAAAUGCCUAGGUAAUUAUAGUGCAACAAACACCCUUUUAAAAAGUGUCUAAAUAUAUUAAAAUGAGAUAAAACAGAAAAGNNNNNNNNNNNNNNNNNNNNNNNNNNNNNNNNNNNNNNNNNNNNNNNNNNNNNNNNNNNNNNNNNNNNNNNNNNNNNNNNNNNNNNNNNNNNNNNNNNNNNNNNNNNNNNNNNNNNNNNNNNNNNNNNNNNNNNNNNNNNNNNNNNNNNNNNNNNNNNNNNNNNNNNNNNNNNNNNNNNNNNNNNNNNNNNNNNNNNNNNNNNNNNNNNNNNNNNNNNNNNNNNNNNNNNNNNNNNNNNNNNNNNNNNNNCCCCCGUUUCGCCCCUCCUCCUCGAUCCAGAUCGGAUCGAGGGAACGCACCCCACGCGCCCGAUCCCGCCCGUCGCCGUCCUCCACCGCCCCAACCGCUCCGCCUCCCCCACUCCACUCCCUGGCAGGCCCUCGCGCGUGAACCGCAUCGCCCUGCCGCGGGUACCGCUGGACGUGUGCGCCCCGCCGCCUCUGCUAGCCGCCCCGUCGCCCUCGACUCCUCGUCGUCGGAGCUUCCCUCGCCGGACUGCCUCCUCAACCCCGCCGGCCUUCUUCUCCUCUUCUUCGCUGGACCUCCCCGAACUCCGUCGAGCACACUGCCCCGUACCCUACAGCUACGGUGAGGCCCUCGGCCUUCCCUUCCCCUCGCCCGUAAGCCGUCCCGCACUGGCGCUCGACCACCGCGACUCCCACCUGCUGCUACUGCACCCCCUCCUCUGUUCCUUCUCCCCGAUGCGGCUCACGUCGCCGUGGCUGCGCCUGCCCGCGUCGGCGACCUCUUUGCAACGAAUCGUGAUGCCCCGUGCGCCCGAGCCGCAUCUGCCGCUGGCGCCCGUGGCCACCUGCCUCCGCGCGCGUCCGUCGUCGAGCUCCCGCACGCCCUGGACCGGCCAUGGCCGCGCCCCUCACGCCCGGCCACAACCCCGCGCCAUGGUCUCCUGCUCGCCACCGCUGCCUCCCGCUCCGCCCGCUGCCUAUCGCCACCUCGCUCGCGUGCCCCACCACUGUUGCGCCGUCUCCAAGCGCCAUCACCGCCUCCACCACCCGUCCUCGCCGCCGUUUCGCCGCACUACUCUGGCCGCCGUCGAGGCCGGCCCCCCUGGUGACCUCAAGCCAGCGUCCGGGCUCGUCCAGUUCGGGCGCCCACAACCGCUGACCGCUAACGCCCCUGCGCCCGCACGCCUGUAGCACGCCCGACCCGCCAAGACGCCCCUACCAAUGACACAGGGGGCCCACGCCCCAAAACGGUUAAAAAAAGAAAUAGAUAAAUAAUAAAAAUAAUUAAUUAAUUAAUUAAUUAGAGAAUUAAAGAAUUAAUUAGCAUAAUUAAUUUUGAUUAAUUUAAUAUAAACAAUUAAUUAAUCAUAAUUAGAUUAAUCUAAUAACUAAUUAAACUAACCACUGUUAGUUAGUUAAUCACUCAAUGAUAGUGGGGCCCACCCCUAAAUAAUUUUGAUUAGAUUAAUUAAACUGUUUAUAUAAAAUGUGUCACUCACCAGUAGGACCCACUGGUCAGGUUGACCAGUCAACUCUGUUGACUGCUGACGUCAGCAUGACAUCAUGCUGAUGUCAUAAAACCAAAUUUCGAAUUAAAUUAAAUAAUUAAUUUAAUUCCAGAAAUUAAUAAAAUCUUAAUAAAAUCAUAUCUUUUAGUCCGUAACUUGGAUUAAAUUAUUUUCAACAUGAAAGUUGCUCAGAACGACGAGACGAAUCCGGAUUCGCAGCCCGUUCGUCUAUCACGCAUCCCUAGCAUAGCGAACACGCAACUUUCCCCCUCCGGUUCAUUUGUCUGAAAACGUGAAACACCGGGAAUACUUUCCCGGAUGUUUCCCCCUUCACCGGUACCACCUCGUACCGCGUUACUGGCACACCUAGCAUCACGCCUUGUCAUGUCCUGGAUUUGUUUGCAAUAUAUUUAUUGUUUCUUUCCCCUCUUCUCUCGCUAGACACCGAGACCGAUGCCGCUGCUACCCAGUACGACCACGGUGUUGACGACCCCUCUCUCUUGCCAGAGCAACCAGGCAAGCCCCCCCCCCUUGAUCACCAGAUAUCGCCUACUCUUGUCUAUACUGCUUGCAUUAGAGUAAUGUAGCAUGUUACUGCUUUCAGUUAAUCCUAUACUGCUGCAUAGCCUAUCCUUGCUACUACUGUUGUUACCUUUACCUGCUAUCCUACUGCUUAGUAUAGGAUGCUAGUGUUCCAUCAGUGGCCCUACACUCUUGUCCGUCUGCCACGCUAUACAACUGGGCCAUGAUCACUUCGGGAGGUGAUCACGAGCAUAUACUAUAUACUUUACACUGUUACAUUACCUGUGGUACUGUUCGGAGUUGGGUGCUGAAGGGGUAGGUGGCUCCAUCCCGGUAGAGGUGGGCCUGGGUUCCCGACGGCCCCCGACUGUUACUUUGUGGCGGAGCGACAGGGCAGGUGUAGACCACCUAGGAAAGAGGUGGGCCUGGCCCUGGUUGGCGUUCGCGGAUACUUAACAUGUUUAACGAGAUCUUGGUAUUUGAUCUGAGUUUGGCCACUGGCCUAUACGCACUAACCAUCUACGCGGGGACUGAAGGAAAUAUGCCCUAGAGGCAAUAAUAAAGUAAUUAUUUAUUUCCUUAUAUCAUGAUAAAAGUUUAUUAUUCAUGCAAGAAUUGUAUUAACCGAAAACAUAAUACAUGUGUGAAUACAUAGACAAACAGAGUGUCACUAGUAUGCCUCUACUUGACUAGCUCGUUAAUCAAAGAUGGUUAUGUUUCCUAACCAUGGACAAAGAGUUGUUAUUUGAUUAACGGGAUCACAUCAUUAGUUGAAUGAUCUGAUUGACAUGACCCAUUCCAUUAGCUUAGCACCCGAUCGUUUAGUAUGUUGCUAUUGCUUUCUUCAUGACUUAUACAUGUUCCUAUGACUAUGAGAUUAUGUAACUCCCGUGUACCGGAGGAACACUUUGUGUGCUACCAAACGUCACAAUGUAACUGGGUGAUUAUAAAGGUGCUCUACAUGUGUCUCCAAAGGUACAUGUUGGGUUGACGUAUUUCGAGAUUAGAAUUUGUCACUCCGAUCGUCGGAGAGGUAUCUCCGGGCCCUCUCGGUAAUGCACAUCACUUAAGCCUUGCAAGCAUUGCAACUAAUGAGUUAGUUGAGGGAUGAUGUAUUACGGAACGAGUAAAGAGACUUGCCGGUAAUGAGAUUGAACUAGGUAUUGGAUACCGACGAUCGAAUCUCGGGCAAGUAACAUACCGAUGACAAAGGAAACAACGUAUGUUGUUAUGCGGUCUGACCGAUAAAGAUCUUCGUAGAAUAUGUAGGAACCAAUAUGGGCAUCCAGGUCCCGCUAUUGGUUAUUGACCGGAGACGUGUCUCGGUCAUGUCUACAUUGUUCUCGAACCCGUAGGGUCCGCACGCUUAAGGUUUCGAUGACAGUUAUAUUAUGAGUUUAUAUGUUUUAAUGUACCGAAGGUUGUUCGGAGUCCCGGAUGUGAUCACGGACAUGAUGAGGAGUCUCGAAAUGGUCGAGACAUAAAGAUUGAUAUAUUGGAAGCCUAUAUUUGGAUAUCGGAAGUGUUCCGGGUGAAAUCAGGAUUUUACCGGAGUACCAGGAGGUUACCGGAACCCCCGGGAGAUAUAUGGGCCUUAGUGGAAAAGAGAAGAGGCAACCAGAGAUGGGCCGCGCGCCCCUCCCCUCCCUUGGUCCGAAUAGGACAAGGAGAGGGGGCCGGCCCCCUUCCUCUUUUCCCCCCCUCCGCGAAUCCUAUUCCAACUAGGAAAGGGGGGAAUCCUACUCCCAGAGGGAGUAGGACUCCUCCUGGCGCGCCACCUCUAGGCCGGCCGCACCCCCCCCCUUGAACCUUUAUAUACGGAGGCAGGGGCACCCCCUAGAGACACAAGUUGAUCCACAUGAUCAUAUUCUUAGCCGUGUGGGAUGCCCCCUUCCACCAUAGUCCUCGAUAAUAUUGUAGCGGUGCUUAGGCGAAGCCCUGCGACAGUAGUACAUCAAGAUCGUCACCACGCCGUCGUGCUGACGGAACUCUUCCCCAACACUUUGCUGGAUCAGAGUCCGGGGAUCGUCAUCGAGCUGAACGUGUGCUAGCACUCGGAGGUGCCGUAGUUUCGGUGCUUGAUCGGUCGGGCCGUGAAGAUGUACGACUACAUCAACCAAACGCUUCCGUUGUCGAUCUACAAGGGUACGUAGAUCACACUCUCCCCUCUCGUUGCUAUGCAUCACCAUGAUCUUGCGUGUGCGUAGGAUUUUUUUUGAAAUUACUACGUUCCCCAACAGUGGCAUCCGAGCCAGGUUUUAUAUGUUGAUGUUAUAUGCACGUGUAGAACACAAGUGAGUUGUGGGAGAUAUAAGUCAUACUGCUUACCAGCAUGUCAUACUUUGGUUCGGCGGUAUUGUUGGACGAAGCGGCCCGGACCGACAUUACGCGUACGCUUACGCGAGACCGGUUCUCCCGACGUGCUUUGCACAUAGGUGGCUUGCGGGUGACAGUUUCUCCAACUUUAGUUGAACCGAGUGUGGCUACGCCCGGUCCUUGCGAAGGUUAAAACAGCACCAACUUGACAAACUAUCGUUGUGGUUUUGAUGCGUAGGUAAGAUUGGUUCUUGCUUAAAGCCCGUAGCAGCCACGUAAAACUUGCAACAACAAAGUAGAGGACGUCUAACUUGUUUUUGCAGGGCAUGUUGUGAUGUGAUAUGGUCAAGACAUGAUGCUAAAUUUUAUUGUAUGAGAUGAUCAUGUUUUGUAACCGAGUUAUCGGCAACUGGCAGGAGCCAUAUGGUUGUCGCUUUAUUGUAUGCAAUGCAAUCGCGCUGUAAUGCUUUACUUUAUCACUAAGCGGUAGCGAUAGUCGUGGAAGCAUGAGAUUGGCGAGACGACAACGAUGCUACGAUGGAGAUCAAGGUGUCGUGCCGGUGACGAUGGUGAUCAUGACGGUGCUUCGGAGAUGGAGAUCACAGGCACAAGAUGAUGAUGGCCAUAUCAUAUCACUUAUAUUGAUUGCAUGUGAUGUUUAUCUUUUAUGCAUCUUAUCUUGCUUUGAUUGACGGUAGCAUUAUAAGAUGAUCUCUCACUAAAUUAUUAGGAUAAAAGUGUUCUCCCUGAGUAUGCACCGUUGCCAAAGUUCGUCGUGCCCAGACACCACGUGAUGAUCGGGUGUGAUAAGCUCUACGUCCAUCUACAAUGGGUCCAAGCCAGUUUUGCACACGCAGAAUACUCAGGUUAAGCUUGACGAGCCUAGCAUAUGCAGAUAUGGCCUCGGAACACUGAGAUCGAAAGAUCGAGCGUGAAUCAUAUAGUAGAUAUGAUCAACAUAGCGAUGUUCACCAUUGAAAACUACUCCGUUUCACGUGAUGAUCGGUUAUGAUUUAGUUUAUUUGGAUCACGUGAUCACUUAGAAGAUUAGAGGGAUGUCUAUCUAAGUGGGAGUUCUUUAAGUAAUUUGAUUAAUUGAACUUAAAUUUAUCAUGAACUUAGUACCUGAUAGUAUCUUGCUUAUGUAUGUUUGAUUGUAGAUAGAUGGCCCGUGCUGUUGUUCCGUUGAAUUUUAAUGCGUUCCUUGAGAAAGCAAAGUUGAAAGAUGAUGGUAGCAAUUACAUGGACUAGGUCCGUAACUUGAGGAUUAUCCUCAUUGCUGCACAGAAGAAUUACGUCCUGGAAGCACCGCUGGGUGCCAGGCCUGCUGCUGGAGCAACACCAGAUGUUAUGAACGUCUGGCAGAGCAAAGCUCAUGACUACUCGAUAGUUCAGUGUGCCAUGCUUUACGGCUUAGAAUCGGGACUUCAACGACGUUUUGAACGUCAUGGAGCAUAUGAGAUGUUCCAGGAGUUGAAGUUAAUAUUUCAAGCAAAUGCCCAGAUUGAGAGAUAUGAAGUCUCCAAUAAGUUCUAUAGCUGCAAGAUGGAGGAGAACAGUUCUGUCAGUGAGCAUAUACUCAAAAUGUCUGGGUAUAAUAAUCACUUGAUUCAGAUGGGAGUUAAUCUUCCAGAUGAUUGCGUCAUUGACAGAAUUCUCCAAUCACUGCCACCAAGCUAUAAGAGCUUCGUGAUGAACUAUAAUAUGCAAGGGAUGAAUAAGACUAUUCCCGAGCUCUUCGCAAUGCUGAAAGCUGCGGAGGUAGAAAUCAAAAAGGAGCAUCAAGUGUUGAUGGUCAACAAGACCACUAGUUUCAAGAAAAAGGGCAAAGGGAAGAAGAAGGGGAACUUCAAGAAGAACAGCAAGCAAGUUGCUGCUCAAGAGAAGAAACCCAAGUCUGGACCUAAGCCUGAAACUGAGUGCUUCUACUGCAAGCAGACUGGUCACUGGAAGCGGAACUGCCCCAAGUAUUUGGCGGAUAAGAAGGAUGGCAAGGUGAACAAAGGUAUAUGUGAUAUACAUGUUAUUGAUGUGUACCUUACUAGAGCUCGCAGUAGCACCUGGGGAUUUGAUACUGGUUCUGUUGCUAAUAUUUGCAACUCAAAACAGGGACUACGGAUUAAGCGAACACUGGCAAAGGACGAGGUGACGAUGCGCGUAGGAAAUGGUUCCAAAGUCGAUGUGAUCGCGGUCGGCACGCUACCUCUACAUCUACCUUCGGGAUUAGUAUUAGACCUAAAUAAUUGUUAUUUGGUGCCAGCGUUGAGCAUGAACAUUAUAUCUGGAUCUUGUUUAAUGCGAGACGGUUAUUCAUUUAAAUCAGAGAAUAAUGGUUGUUCUAUUUAUAUGAGUAAUAUCUUUUAUGGUCAUGCACCUUUGAAGAGUGGUCUAUUUUUGAUGAAUCUCGAUAAUAGUAACACACAUAUUCAUAAUGUUGAAGCCAAAAGAUGCAGAGUUGAUAAUGAUA
rnacentral:lncRNA from 1 species